GAAUGACUAAGUUAUUUAAACACUCCACAGUCGUUCAUAUGUUGGAAGUAGGUAUGAAUCAAGACUGUCAUGAAUCGAGUUUGUAGAUGGCUAAAUGGGUUUAGUCAUAGCAAUGGUUGCUACAACAUUCAUGAGUGCUCAUAAGUUAUGAGUAUUGGAAUAAACCCACGCUCACUUGUAUCACUUCAUGGAAUUUAUCUCGAGUGAUCGUGAGACGGUAAUAUCAUAUAAAUCUUCAAACCUAGAGAUAUGAGUUGUUACCUAUGAGUUGGUUGUGCAUUGAUUGCACGUAAACGCAUCAGUAACUUGAUGUUAUAAAACGUGCCUUUGUGUACAAUUCAACAAGUAGUAGAACAAGCAUAUGAGUCGAAGUUUAUCUGUUCCUUCUAGAAAUAGAAGCGAUAUUUGGGCCCCUCGAUGAUUUUGUUGUGACCUAUGUACCGGCCGGUCAGAACUAAAUUGAUGUGUUCGAUUAAGUUCUUUGUCAAACAAAUCGAAAAUCGGGAAACAAACUGCUGGACAAUAAGUACGACGUUGUUCCAUGUAUUUGUCCGGCUGAUAUCAUGAGAACAGAGGAUUAUAUGAUCACUUAUCUAAAAUGGCGCUUCAUAGUUCAACAGAGUUUUCGAGAGCUACGAUUGCUGGUUGGUUCCUGAAGUAACAUACGCAAAUAUAGUUAUUAGACUUAUCCAAGUGGGAGUCUGUUGGAUAAGGUGUCUAAGUCCAUAACUUAUUUGGUACAUACUUGACCCGACCCGGCAUGGUCCAUUUGGGUUGCACUUCACCCGAACUAUUUAUGGAUAAUUUUAUGAGAGUUAUACGCAUAUGUUUAUUAAUAUAUUAUAAGUUAUAAUAUAUUAAUAUGAAGCCAUGUUAUUUAAUUAGUCUUAGUCUUAAAUUAAUUAUGAAUUAAUUUAGAGAUUAAAAGGAAGACUAAUUAAAUUGUGGGCUAUUGUUUUAUAUGGUGUGGGCUAACACUCAUUUGUUAAUGGGCUAGGCUUAUAUGGAAGUCCAUGGAUGAUCCAUGGAGCUUUUAACCCAGGGAUCCUUGGAAAGGAAAAGACAUGGGUUAUUAGGGUUUCACCCUAAUCAUGUACACUAUAUAAGCAUGCUUAUGUUGCAUGAAAUGGUCACUAUUGACACUAGUGUGGUUUUGUGUGUGUGGCCGAUUUUCUAUGUGUGUAUACACUCUCUCAAAGUUUUCCAAGUGUUUGUGGUGAUUUGUGAUUCCAUUUGAGGCAUUCACACUAUUGGUGCUUGGCUCUCAAACUCCAAACAAUCAACCAUCAUCAAAAGGUAUGUAUUUCUACUAGUACUUUUAUGAUUCAUAAUCCUUAUGCUAUGCUAGUUAGGAUGAAACCUUGGAAAAUAUUAUUUGCAUGUAUUUUAGAAGAAAACAUAGAUCCAAGGUUUAUUAGGGUUGCAUGCACACUUAGGAAGUGUUAGAUUGCUCAAAACCCAACAGAAGGUACAUACACUAUUCUGUCUAAGAAUUCACCCCAUUCUAAUUCUUGGGUCCUUGAUACAGGUUGUGGUACUCACAUAUAUACUAAUCUGCAGGGACUAAGAAGAAGUGAGAAUGUGGAGCAUGGGAAGACAAAAUUGAUCAUGGGGAAUAGGAAAGCUUCACCUAUCACCAAGAUUAGAGUUUAUUCUUUGUUGCUAAGUAGUGGAUUAGUAUUAGAUUUGAAUAAAUGUUGUUACUCGUCUGGAAUGGUAAUAAAUAUUAUUUCCAUUCAUGGUUUGUACAAACAAGGUUUUACCUUUUCAUUUGAUAAUGAUAGUGGUGGUAUUAAUGCUUUCUUUAAUAAUUUCUUUUAUUUUAAAGCAUUACCUUGUGAUGGUGUAUAUGAAACUGUGUCGGUUGUUGAUAACCUAGGAAAUAAUGUAUUGUGUAUCGAUUCUUCCACUAGCUUGGAUAAAGCAUAUUUAUGGCAUUGUCAUCUUGGACAUGUAAUCAAGAAACGCAUAGGCCAACUCCAAAAGGAUGGAGUCUUGGAUUCGUUUGACCUAAGGUUAGAUGAUAGUUGUGAAUCUUGUUUGCUUGGGAAAAUGACAAAGCCACCCUUCACUGGUAUUUGUGCUAGAGGUGAGGGUUUAUUGGACCUCAUACACACUAAUGUGUAUGGACCCUUCAAAACCGCCACAAGAGAUGCUAACCGCUUCUAUGUGACUUUUACUAAUGAUUUUAGUAGAUAUGGAUAUGUCUACUUAAUCAAGCAUAAGUUAGAUACCUUUGAAAGAUUCAAAGAGUUCAAGCAGGAAGUCAAGAAUCAGUUGGGCAGGAACAUUAAGAUGCUUCGAUCCGAUCAAGGUGGUGAGUAUCUUAGUACAGAGUUCCUUGACUAUCUUAAGGAAUGUGGGAUUAUCUCACAAAUGACACCUCCUAGGACACCACAGCUUAAUGGUGUGGCUGAAAGGCGCAAUCAAACCUUGUUGGAUAUGGUUUGUUCCAUGAUGAGUCGAGCUUCGCUACCAAUCUCAUUUUGGGGGUAUGCCUUAGAGACUGCCGUCCAUAUCCUUAAUCUAGUUCCUACAAUGAAGGUUGCCAAAACACCUCAUGAGAUGUGGAUCGGAAAAGUUCCCAAUCUGGACCACAUAAAGAUUUCCGGUUGCGAGGCUUUUGUGAGGCGCGAGUCUCAUGAUAAGCUUGAACCUCGAAGUAAGAGGUGUAUUUUCAUCGGCUACCCACAAAGAUCGUUUUGUUACCUCUUCUACAGACCUAGUGAUAAUGUGGUCUUUGUAGCAAGGAGAAGAGUCUUUCGCGAGAGAGAAUUCAUGAGCCAAGGAAACAAUGGAAGGCAAAUUGACCUUGAAGAAAUUCAAGAGUCAAGUGGUGAAGGAACCUCAAACCCUAGCAAUCAACCUGAGGAGGAAACUCCUGUUGAUCCGACAGAAGAGUUUGUACCUCUGAGGCGUUCCACAAGAGUUAGGAAUGCACUUGAGUAUUACUAUGGUUUCCAUAUUACUAUGAAAGGUGAUACACUUAUCAGUAAUAGCACACUGGUAAGUCUGGAUGAACUUAACAGCUACACGGAAGCCAUGGCAGGCCCUGAGGCUGCAAAAUGGAAAAAGGCUAUGGAUAGCGAGGGACAAUCCAUGUAUGACAAUCAAGUUUGGAACUUGGUUGACAAUGUACCGGGUCACAAGACAAUCAGGUGCAAAUGGAUAUUCAAGAAGAAGAUCGACAUGGGUGGUAAUGUACACACUUAUAAGGCACAACUGGUUGCGAAGAGCUUUUCUCAAACUCCAUGAGUUGAUUAUGAUGAGACAUUUUCCCCAGUAGCAAAGAUUAAGUCUAUUAGGGUUACGUUAGCCAUUGCUACAUUUCAUGAUUAUGAAAUAUGGCAAAUGGAUGUCAAAACCGCUUUCCUUAAUGGAAAGUUGGCAGAGGAUGUUUACAUGAGUCAGCCAGAGGGUUUUGUCAGUACAGAGUACCCUAAUAGAGUAUGUAAGCUUGAGAAAUCCAUUUACUGAUUAAAGCAAGCACCUCGUAGAUGGAAUCUUUGCUUCGAUGAGAAAGUCAAAGAAUUUGGCUUUUCGAGGAGUGAAGAUGAAUCUUGUGUAUAUGUUAAGCCUAGUGGGAGUAUAGUAAGCUUUUUGGUACUGUAUGUGGAUGACAUACUACUCAUAGGAAAUGACAUCCCAAAUCUGCAGGAAGUUAAGUCCUAGCUUGGGAUGUGUUUCACUAUGAAGGACCUUGGAGAAGCUGUCUAUAUCCUAGGGAUAAGGAUUUUGAGAGACAGGAGUAAAAGACUAAUUGGAGUUAGUUAGAGUACCUACUUGGAGAAGGUGCUGAAUAGAUUCAACAUGUAGAAUUCCAAGAAAGGAGAGUUACCGAUCCAGAGUAACGCCAGACUGAGUAAAACUCAUAGUCCAAGUACAGAGGCUGAGAUAGCAAAAAUGAGUCGAGUACCGUAUGCUUCCGUUGUACGCUUGAUCACGUAUGCUAUGACUUGUACUUGUCCUGAUGUGGCCUUUGAUUUGAGCAUGGUCAGCAUAUAUCAGGGGAACCCUGUCAAGGGUCACUGGACUGUGGUAAAGAACAUUCUCAAGUACCUAUGGAGGACUAAGGACUGGGUCCUUACCCUCGGUGGAAGUGAUGACUUGAGAGUAUUAGGGUAUAGUGUUGCUAGCUUCCAGACUAAUUGGGAUAAUUUACGCUCUCAUUCAGGCUGGGUCUUUACCUUAAAUGGAGGAGCAAUUUCUUGGAAAAGUUCCAAGCAGGACACAAUUGCUGAUUCAACUUGCGAACCAGAGUAUAUAGCAGCAAGCGAGGCAGCAAAGGAGGCUAUAUGGCUAAAGAACUUCAUUGGAGACCUUGGAGUUGUACCAGCUAUAAAGGAGCCUAUAGAGAUUUUCUGUGAUAGAGAAAGUGCAGUUGCCUUAGCAAAGGAACCAAGGGAUCACGGGAGAUCCAGACACAUUGACAGAAAAUAUCAUUUCAUUAGACAUCGAAUAGAAGAAGGACUCUUCGUGGCUAAGAAGGUAUCAUCGGAUGAGAACCCAGCAGAUCCCCUCACGAAGGGACUGGGCAGCCUUAAGCAUCUCCAGCAUACAAGGAGCAUAGGGCUAAAGGAUGAUAUUAGUUUUAGUAGUUAAAUAGCUUUGAAAUCUGUAAAGUGUAAUUGACAUUUGAUGAUGAAUAAAAGUUGUAUUUAUUUAUGAAUAAAGUGUUGUUAUCUUUGGUCAAUCGUUUACUAUCAUUUCAUUUUGCAUGUUUUGACUUUCAGAAUAAUUAUGUUAUGUUAUUUCAUAUUAUCCAAAUUAUCCAUAGUCGGUCAUAUGAUGGAAAUAGAUAUGAAUUAAGACUGUCAUGGGUUGGCUUGUAGAGGUCUGAGAUGUGGGACACAACUACAACACUCAUGAGUUCUCAUAAGUUUUAAGUAUUGGAUUCACCCACGCUCACUGGUAUCACUUCAUGGAAUUUAUCUCGAGUGAUCGUGAGAUGGUAAUAUCAUAUAAGUCUUCAAACCUAGAUAUAUGACUUGUUGCCUAUGAGUUGGUUAUACAUUGAUUGUACGAAAACGCAUUGGUAACUCGAUGUUACAAAAUGUGCCUUUGUGUAUGAUUUAACAAGUAGUAGAACAAGCAUAUGAGUCGAAGUUUAUCUAUUCCUUCUUAGAUUAGAAGCGAUAUUUGUGCCCCAUGCUGAUUUUGUGUUGACCCGUGUAUCGGGCCCGGUCAGAACUAAGUUGAUGUGUUCAAUUAAGUUCUAUGUCAAACAAAUCAGAAAUCGAAAACAAACUGUUGGACAAUAAGUAAGACAUUGUUCCAUGUAUUUGUCUGGCUGAUAUCUAAAACAGAGGAUUAUAUGAUCACUUAUCUUAAAUGGCCUAUCAUCAUCAUCUUAGUUCCAAGAGACCUUGAAAGAGCUACGAUUGCUUAUCGGUUCUUGAAUUCAUUCUUGUAAUUAUAGUGAUUAGACUUAUCCAAGUGGGAGACUGUUGGAUUAGGUGUCUAAGUUCAUAACUAUUUCUGGAAUGUACUUGACCCGAUUAGCAUGGUCCAUUUGGGUUGCAUGGCAUCAUGAAUUUGGAUAGACUAAAAUGAGAGAAAUAACACUUAAGGUUUAUUAAUAUAUUCUAAGUUCUAAUAUAUUAAUAGUAUUAUUUAAUUAGUAUUGACCAAGAAUUAAUUUGGAAUUAAUAAAGUGAUCAAAAGAAGUCUAAUUAAAUAUAUGGGUUGAUUGUGUAAAUCAUCCAUACUUAUAUAGUGGGCUAAUGCUUCACGGAUUAUCAAGUUGGGCUAAAACUCAUCGGAUGCUGUAACAACGUAAAUUUUUCAAAACAAUUUUUUCAUUUUCAAAACAUUCAUUUAUUCACAAAAUAAAAUCACCCAUAUUGUAUCAAAUGUAUUUAUCACAAAAACAUCUCCCCAGAAUCCAAAACAUAAACUUCUCAAGUGUGUACGGAUCAUGUCGGCACCUUCCCGCGCUCAUCACUGGUACCUGAAACACAUCACACAACAACUGUAAGCAUAAAUGCUUAGUGAGUUCCCCAAAAUAUCGCAUACAACACAUACACCACUCAAGGCUAUAAUACGACCCUCCGGUCGAUGUGUCUCAGCGGGAUCCUCCAGUCCCGUAGCUCGUUGGACCCUCUGGUCCGGUCAUAGCUCGUUGGGCCCUCCAACCCGGUCUGUAUCGUUGGACCUUUCGGUCCGGUCUAUAACUACAUACAACAUACACAUAACACAUAACACAUAAUCUCAUACAUAACACAUCAGACCCUCUGGUCUACACAAUAUACCACUCUAGGUAAGUAUAGUGAGAAGACUCACCUCGAUGUCUCGGUAAAUAUCUGACUCGGAAUAAAUGUGAUCUAGCCUCCGCCUAAUCACACAAAGUAAUACACUCAUAAAUACAAUUGUACUCAACCCUAAAAGUCAACAAGGUCAACGGUCAACUUUGACCGGACUCGGCGAGUGCACUAGGGCGACUCAGCGAGUCUACACGUGUCCACUGACUCUCUUGGAUCCUUUCUUGACACGCCGAGUACCUCCUUGACUUGACGAGUUCCACCUGGCAUGAAUCGUAGGACCACCAUGACUCAACUCGCCGAGUCUCAAAAACAACUCGGCGAGUUCCUGCUUGAACUCAGUCCCCCCUGACUCACCCUGACUCACUGAGUCGUUCCGUUAACUCGACAAGUCCACUCAUUAAGUGAUUACGGGCAAACUUCAUACUACUCGUUGAGUCUGUUCUUCAGACUCGGCGAGUUCAUGCCAUGCAUAAACUCAAAACCACUUCUGAGGUCAGAUGUGUUCCAUACAAUCAUAGAUCUGGCCUCCCCAAGCAUGAUAAUCACGUAAAGUCCAAACCUUGAUGCUUAAACAACAACUAUUUUCUCUUAUAUGAUGUUCUAGCCCCAUAUUUCAUAACCCAUGGUCAAAACUCCCAUGAAUCCUCAUAAAGCUUGAGGAAUAAAGCUUCUCUGGACCUCUAUGGAUCCCAUUCCAAGCCUCAUCACAAAUAGGGACGAAAUGGACAUCAAAUCUAACCAACAAAGGGGUCAAGAAACCUUAAACCCCCAUGUUCAUCAUAACAACAGAAAGGGAACCAAAAUAUUACCUCCAAAGUGAUGCUCUGAGCUCCGAAUUCGAAGAAUGUCCACCUUCCUUACUUCCUCUUAGCUAGAACCUCAUUUUCCUUGCCAAACAACGCCUCAAAGGUUAACAAUGGCCUCCUCUCUCUCCCAAAACGCUCAAGAUCUCUUUAGGGUUUCUCUCUGGGGUUGGUGGCCGCAAAUGACACCAACUCACCGAGUCUCCUCACAAAACUCAAAAAUAAAAGGAUAAAAAUAAUACCUGGGAAUCCGAAUGUUACAAUUCUCCCCCACUAGAAUCAGACUUCGCCCUCGAAGUCUCACUCUCCAAAUAACUCUGGAUGCUGCUUACGCAUCUCACGCUCNGCUCUGGCUCCCAAGUCAACUCUGACCCUUUCCGAUGCUGCCACUAGAACUGCACCAGUGGCACCUCUUUAUUCCUCAGGACCUUGAUCUUCCGAUCUCCGGUCGCCACUGGUCUCUCAUCAUAAUUCAGGCUCGCAUCCACGUGAAUAUCUUCUAGUGGCACUACUGCCGACUCAUCGGCUAUGCACUUUCGCAACUGCGACACGUGGAAAGUGUUGUGAGUCUGACCCAACUCUACUGGCAACUCCACACGAUAGGCUACCCUGCCUACCCUCGCAAUCACCCUGAAAGGACCAAUAUAUCAGGGCCCCAUCUUGCCCUUCUUCCUAAAUCGAAUCACUCCUUUCCAAGGAGAGAUCUUCAGUAGCACAAAGUCGCCGACCUGAAACUCAAGCUCGGUGUCACACCCCAAAACCAAGAACGGCGGAAACGUUCUGGGGCGGAGGACGUCAUGUACAGUAUCACAACAAUGAAAAGUACUAAACAAGAAACAACAUCAUCCAUUGCAUUAAUAAUAUAAUUAUUAUACAAGUGUGUUUUGUCAAAUUAUNUUCUGUCAAAUUUUGAUAAACACUAAAGCAUAAAUCAAAAUGAAAGAUAAGUCUUGAACAAGCUUCAUCUUCCUUUCUCCUUGCAUCGGUACCUGUCUAUGAUGACCUGAGGAUACAAGUAAUUUUGAAAGCGAGUAUCAGCUUUGAAGCUGGUGAGAUCAUAAGUAUUUUAGUGUCUUAAUUUGUAAGUAAGUAUUUGUAUGUAUGAAUUUGUAAGUAUAUGAAUUGUAAGUAUUGAAAGUGUAUAUGAACUGUAAGUAUGAAAAUGUUUGUAAAACAACUGUAAAUGUUUGAAAAACCCUAGAAAUCCCUAUGAUUCCUAUUAGUAACAAAAGGGGUCUUCUACCAAGACUUAACUGUUCUCAAUGUAGUCUUCUAUCAAGACCUAACUAUUCUAAAUGUAGUCUUCUACCAAGACCUAACUGUUCUGAAUGUAGUCUUCUACCAAGACCUAGCUGUUCUGAAUGUAGUCUUCUACCAAGACCUAACUGUUCUGAAUGUAGUCUUCUACCAAGACCUAGCUGUAUUAGUAUUACCCUUUGGAACAAGGGCAACUAACAAUGUUAACUGAAGACAUCCAUAGAUGUACAUUUACCUCUGCUGCUAACAGUUGGGUAUAGGAAUAGUCAGUCCCCAAAAGUAUAUAUGUAAUGGUAUCAACUGUUGACAUCCGUGGAUGUGCUUUUACCUCUGUAGCUAACAGAGAUUCUAGGAAUGGUUAAUCCCGCAACGUAUCCUUUGGCACAUGUGACCAUAUCUAUGUAAUAGAAUGGUAAUGUACUGUAAUGUUCAAGCUGUAGUGUACGUGCUCUCUAUCUAGCAAGUAUAGUAAUGUACUGUAAUGUGCUAGUUGUAGUCUACGUGCUCUGUAUCUAGCGAGUAUAGUAAUGUACUGUAAUGUGCUAGUUGUAGUCUACGUGCUCUCUAUCUAUCAAGUAUAGUAAUGUACUGUAAUGUUAUAGCUAUAGUGUACAUGUUGUCUAUCUAGUAAGUAUAGUAAUGUAUUGUAAUGUUCUAGCUGUAGUGUACAUGCUCUCUAUCUAGCAAGUAUUGUAAUGUACUGUCAUGUUCUAGCAAGUAUUGACUCAUGAAUGAACGGACUCAUUGUAUGGUAUCGCGUUCUAGUAAUAGUUCUAGUAUCUUCCUAAACUACCUGCAUGGUAGUUUACUAGUGAUCUAACUGGUACGUAUGGACAUGGAUGUAUACCCUUGCUACCCAAGGGCAUGGGUUGAACUGGAAGGGCCUUUAUGACUAUAUAUGUACAUAUGUUAUAUAACUAAUAUUUAAACGACCUUCGGACGAGUACCCGAUAUCCCACCAGACCACAUCUCAAGCGCGAAAAGGAAAUAGGGUGGAUAGCCUUCCUAAUUCUUUUAAACAUUUCUUAUAUAAGUAUACAUAUAGAGGCAUACAAUUUAUAAUAUAAAAGCAUAAAUAAGUUUUGUAAAACCUUUGAACAUAAUUAUUAUCUUAAGAAAAGAUCGACUUGAUGUCAAUCUAUAAAACGGUUUGAAGGCAUGGGUUUGAUAAAACAGUUUAGUAUAAAGAAACAUUUGUUUUAAACACAAUUGUAAAUAAGUUUGAAAAGUAAUAUACGGAGAAAAAUGUACAGAGAAAUAAGGAGUUUUAAACACAUAAAGUGUUUAUGAAAGACAUUUGAAGGAAACUGUUUAGUAAAACGGCUAAUGAGUAGCCAAUCAUUUGAAUGCUGCNUUUCACUUCCUCCCCCCCCCCCCCCCCCAUAAAACAUUUAAAAACAGUUUAAAACGUUGAUUGAGGGGUAAGAACUCACCUGUAGUAAGUGUAUCGGAAGGAAGUGUCAGAUAAGUGUUAUACGUGUUAUACGUCUAAUAAACAACUAAUAAACAAAUUUAAGACACUCUAGGACAUGCUAAACACUUUAUACAAGUGUUAUACGUCUCAAGGGUUGCAUCUAAGUGUUGUAGGGAAAGGCUAGUGUGUUUGGGGUUCAAGGGUAAACUCCCUUGGAGUUUACGGUUUUGAUGGUCAUGACACCAAGAGUUUACGGCAUCAAACUCUAGAGUUUACGGUCGUAAACUCUAGUCCUAAUGACUAGGUGUUGUUUGGUGGUUUAACAAGCCUCUUGGAGAAAUUCUACUAAGUGGUUUGGCCUUUGGAAUGGACUAGGGCAUCAAAACAACUCAUUUGAGGAGUUUACGGCCUCAUGGCGUUUUCCCUUAGGUUCAUAAACCGUAAACACAAAUGGAAGAGUGUAAAUCCAUGUUUUCAAGUCCCUAACACAGUUAGGGAAGUGUAUGAGCUAGUUUCUAAGCCUAAGGAAGGAAAUUAACCCAUUUAGACAUACUUUUGGGUGUUCACGGUUUUAGGAGAUCCCCAAACCGUAAACACCUAUAUUUGUGGGCGUUUGAUGUUUUUCAAGGCUUAAACUCAACAAAGGAAGGUUUAAACAUGUCAAGGAUGGUUUAAACAUCAAAACUAGGUCUUAGAUAAGGACUUAGGCACACUUUGGUGCCCUUUAUGGUGUUUACGACCCAAGAACAUUCUUGGACCGUGAACAGCUUCAAUCUUGUGUUCUUGACAUAUUUUCUUGAUGUUUAAAUGUAGUACUAGCUUCAAAUCACUCAAGGAUAGAAGCACUUACUAUUGGAAGGCUUGAUUUAUGCUAAAAGGCCAAGAACACUUAGUGUGUGUUCCUGGUGUUCUUGGUGUUUUGGAAAAUCUAAACAAAAACCGGAAAUGAAUGGAUGAAUAGAUGCACAAACACUAGAUUAAGUGUUUUACUAACUUGAAAGGGUUAAAACACUUACAAGAUUGAAGAUUUGGAAUUAAAUCUUGGAUGAUACUUGAGAGAAAACUUGGAGUUUACUCUUUUGACUUUUGGGGAGUAAACACAAAUGACUAACUUUUUGGGGAGUAAACUCAUACAUAGGCAUGAGUUUACGGUUUUGGUGAUUUCUAAACCCAAAACAUAAAAGUUUGGUCGGGUGUUUCUAAUACGCGAAGUGUUUGCGGUUUUCAAAAAUCAAAACCCGAGACGACACUUUCUUUCACCCGUUCGUUUAAAAGUAAUAUUAAAAUAACCAAACGAACUUUAUAUUUCUUAAAAAUAAGAAAUAAUGACAUUGACUUAUGAUACGAAGGGGUUGACUUUUAGGGUUUGAUCGAAUGGAAAUUUCGGGUUGUCACAUCAUCCCCCCGUUAAAGGGAAUUUCGUCCCGAAAUUAGAAUUUAGAUAAGGAAGUAGGCAUGAAUGAUCAAGUCGAGAGGAGGAAACUUCCUAAUCGAUUGGUUCUAGAGCUCCUAAGAGAAAUCGGGUCCUCGGUUGGUAUUCCAACAAACCUUCACUAACGGGAGACUGCGUUGCUUAGUCCGCUUGACCUCUCGGUCGAGGGUCACUGCGGUUCAAAUACGAAGGCGAGGAUCUUUACGAGUGGACUUACAAGAGUCCUACCGGAAAGGUAUGGUUUCACGAUCGAGACGCGAAGAGUAAAAUGUACGUUGCUGAGUUCGCGAAGUAGGUCUAGUUUGUGCGAGGUACAGGACUGAUUCUGGUAAGAAUCCCGGAGGUCCUAUCUAUCUUGGAUUUUUCUUUCCACGCGAUACGAAGCGUAUUAAGCCAUUCCCGAAGUGAGUUUUUCCUAAAGAACUUGGUCUCUCACUUGGAGCUUCCAAGGGUUCUUUCUCUUGCUAAACUUCCAAGUCAAGGGCCACUCCUUGCUGGGUCAAAGUCGAAAGGGUUCAUGUAAUUUGCUAGAAGUUCCGAAUGAACUAUGACAGUAGGUCUGUAAGACCUAGAAUGUGGCGAAUUUCUGUCGGCGUCUCUGGUGUCGACAAAUUCUCAACGGUUUUGACAAAUUGAAAGAGUACUCAAAAUUUUCCACAUCACUAAUAGUGUCGUAGGAAAUCUAACCCUUAAAUUUCAAAACCCGUGUUUAGAGAACUUUAUGUAAGUUCCUCCGACGGUAAUGUUCCCAUGGGUUCCUUCUUACUACGAGGGUAGAUAAGUAAGUCGUUACAUGGAGAAUGACGAACUGAUCCAAGUAAGAAAGGCGGACUCUGUUCCUUAAACUCAUGAAAACUAUGGGCGUAUUGGUCCUAUCUGAAGGGUAUCACUACGGAUUCGAAGUGUCCGCAUUGAGUUCGGAAGAUAGUCUUCCAGACAUNCCGGACAUCCUUCCCUAACACUCGAACUGGUGAUAUUCGGAUCUCAGACCCAUUUCUGAAAGUUAUUCUUUCCUUGCGUUUUCUCAACCAUUUCAUCUAUGUGAGGCAGAGAUAACGAUUUCUAAUGAAAAAUCUUGACGAAGUCCUCGAUAUCCGAGGUACAUAUGAUGCAAUCCGUCGAUCUCUAGAAGAAUAAGACCGGGGUUCUCCAGGGUGAGAUGCCUAGUCUUCUAAUUAUAUUUCUUCGUAGUUCGUUAAGUUGUCUGUACUGUUCUUGUAUCUCCGUAGAUGUUUAGACUGUAGGGCGAUCUGUUUACGGGAGUCAUACUGGGUUCUAAGUUUGUUCACAUGACGAUGCGAUUACUCGUAGACUUAGGUAGUUCUCCGUCCUAAAGUUCAUAUUAGAAUUCAUACAUGUUUUCACAAUCACAAUCUCGUGUAUACGAGUCAUGUAUAAUUAAAACUGAAAAGGUAGUCGAAUAACUGAUUCUUCUUUAAGCUCAUAUCCCAUUGGAGAAAAAGAAGUUAAAGUGGAAUCAUCAAUUCUAAACCUGUAGAACCUUGAUUAUAUAUUACCCUUAUGUAUACAUUCCUCAGCGAUAGAUCAACCGUAUGAAUCUUUGGGUUGAACUUGACGUACUGCACGAGUAGUACUUCGGGGAUUCCUUCGGAAAGAAAAUAACUAAGAGGUACUCCUGGCAUGAGUACUUCGGUCUUCUGAUAUGACGGUUUCGCUAACAAGACGUUUACUGAUAAGGAGACGUACGUAUAAAGCUGUUUUCGUGAGGAUCAAAUUGAAUCUAAUCGUAUGAUAAUGUCGGAAUCAUACAGAAACUUUAAAGACAUUAGAUUUGAACAUAAGGCGUUUACAGACAAAACAUAACCAUGCAACCAUGAACAGAGUUACAGUACUUUAGAUUUUCUACCGGACUAUUGCUGCGAAUAAGGUAUACUACAAAAGUUAAGUAUAUGCAGCAUGAGAAUCUCUUUACAGACCGGAUUUUGCCAAAAGGUAUUACUCUAGUUGCACUAGUUUUGGAUAGUUUAUAAGUCUGUUACAACGAAACGCAUUAAUUACAUUAACGUGGGUUCCGGAGCAAGUUCUCCAGCAGCUGUGAUCCUGAGAAUCCUCUCAUCUACGCCAGAGUUCUUUGUUAUAGGGCAAUCCUUCUUGACGUGCCCUAUUUCCCCGCAUUGGUGGCAUGACUGGCUAGUACUAGCUUUGGUGAAGGGAUUGCGGUGUUUAGCCAGUGUUAUGUGGAAACGAGUGCCUUCCUCGUUACUCCACCUUGAAAAUUGCUUCCUAAAUCGUUCGACGUUAUAACUACUCUCGUGUGUAGGGUUAGUCCCGAUGAAAGGGACUUGAGUGAUGGGUCGUGCCGGUGCUCCAUAGUUACGAGCAUGGUGCCCUAUGUUUAGGCAAUUGCAACAUUGCAUCUCAUGGCAAGCCCCAUGAUGAUGGAAACUACACUUAUCACACUUCGGGAGUUUUCCCUCGUAUGGCCUGCUCGGUACGGGAAUGGCAGGAGUUUCCACUUGCUGCUGUUGCAUAGCCAGCCUUUGGGAUUUCUUGCGUUAUUUCUGGGCUUGACGCUUUCGUUUCUUGUUCUCUGCUUUUCGGCUUUGCGAGCCUGUGACUGUUACUGUUUGGCGACUUCCUGGAUGGAUACCACGAUUGGAAACUUCAUUCCCAUCAGCAGCAUUGAUUGUGCUGAUAGCGCUACGGUGCGCAAGGACCGCGGUUACGGCAGCCACCACGGNNNNNNNNNNNNNNNNNNNNNNNNNNNNNNNNNNNNNNNNNNNNNNNNNNNNNNNNNNNNNNNNNNNNNNNNNNNNNNNNNNNNNNNNNNNNNNNNNNNNNNNNUGUAAUUGCUGUUUGGAAGGUAGCGGCGUCCAUAGGAAAAGCGGAGGUUUCGCUGUUCGAUUGAUUGUUUCCGGAUGACGACAUGAUUCUAUAACACGAAAGAUAAGGAUUUUGUGAGCGAUUCUGGUUGACCCUUGAUGUACUUAGAUUGUUCAUGUAAAGAGUAUGACUAUGAUCUCGAAAGUUUGACCUACAUCCCUAUGAUGCAGUCCUAGCAUGAAUUGGAAGUAUGUUCACGGAGGUUUGACCUACAUCCCUAUGAUGCAGUCCUAGUACGGCAUGGAAGUGAGUUUGUAGAAUGGUCUCAAGACGUUUGUCGUUCAAGUCGAGGUAUCGUGGGUUAGUGAAUAACAAGAUCCAACCACUGAAAGAGACUUGGAAAUGUCUCCGGAGUUAAAUUACUAUAGUCCAAUGAUUUGACUAAAGCAUGUUUCAGAUAGACUCCAAUGAAAUUAUGAUAAGACUACUUGAAUAAAGAAGGACACGGAAGUUAACCGACUAUCAAUAUCUUUGAUAUUCAUAACGUAAAGAUUCAGGAAAAUAACCUUGUAAAGGUCUUACAUCAUAUCUAGAGAAGAUAGUUCUUGACAUCAUAAAGAUCUAACCAAAAGUACUUACAGUACCAGAUAGUUUCAUAGAAAAUGCCACAUCGGGCAUAGACGGAAAAAUGAUUCUUUUUAAUAAAGAAAAUAAAGUAAAGCGUCUACUACUGGCGACGGUCAUCCCUCUGGUGAACUCUUAGUUCAGCCAAUUGACGUUCCACGUCAAGUAGGUGUCUUUCGUACACCCUCUGGUGUAUUCGGAGCUCUAUGACUUCGGCUCGUGAUUCAGCCAGUGCUUGCAGCAGGGUUUCAUGGUUUCUCUCAGAUCUCUCGCAAGCAUCUUCUAGACGAAUGGUGCGGAGGGUAUGCAUUCUCGCAUUGGUGACAACUUCAGUGAUCUGAUGUAGGGCUGUCCUACCUUGAAUCUCAUUUUGGGCCACUCUGUGGACCAAGAUUGGCAAGACUCUGUCUGUUGAGCCUCCAUUGUUCAGGUCAUAAAAGCUUCGGUCACCAUCAUAUGGUAUGGGCUGAUCUUGUCCUUGGCUCCAUGUUUCCAAACAUUCCACCCAUGGAGGCGUCGGACCAUGAAAAGCCAGACGAGGGUUAGGAAUUGCAAUGGGAGUUGCCUGGGAUAGGUUCUCAACCUUUGGUUCGGAGUUAGCCCGUCUGAAAGGUUUUCAUCAUGGUGAUCAUUUACGGGGAUAGAAUGUUCAUUGUCUGGUUCAUCUCCAAACCAACCAGCAGUGACUUCGUUCGGAAGAUACUGGUUGCCGUGGGGAUCGAGUCCAGCCAUGUUAUCUAUGCGAGAAUUGGGGUAAGAAAAUAAUUAUUAGACGAAUUAUCUAGAUAAUUAUUUAGAAAAUAUUCAUUAGUUACAUCACUAUUUGUGAAGUGCAUACCAAUUAUAUGUAAUUGAAACAGGAUAGGCCUUCGAAUAAGUGAUCUUAACUCCAUAUUCACACAAAAUAGGGGUGAAGUAAAAUUUUCACAGAUUCUAAGUCUAUAAGAUCCUAAUUACAUAUAGCCUUAGUGUAUCCACUUAGCAACAAUCAACUUCGUAAUGAAGAUCCCGUUUUAGUUCUCAAGUAUAAAGUACUUAUAGUAACACCAAAUACUCCUAUAGUAUUUUAAGUUUAAUGUCAUGUUCUACUGUUCUCAUUGUGGUAGGGUUGGUAAGAUUUUAGCAUUGUUUCAACCACACAACUACACUUAGGCACAUGCUAGUCAACCCUCGGAUAAUAUAGCUGAUCAGGCUAUAUCUUCCCAGUUUUAACCAUAUGUCUCUAAGCCCACUUGUGUUGCCCAAUAAUCGUAAUUCUUUUGUAUUGUCCUAGUGACACUGAUUUUAGUAUGAAUGUAGGUACGUAUACUUUUUUAAAUAUUUUAUUAUUUAAAGUAUAAACUCUUGGUCAGAGUAUUUUUAAUCCCUUAUGUAUUUAUAGUUAGUAUAUCUUUUAUGGGUUGAUAUACUUAAUUCACUAUAAACAAUGCUCUGAUACCAAUCUGUCACACCCCAAAACCAAGAACGACGGAAACGUUCUGGGGCGGAGGACAUCAUGUACGGUAUCACAACAAUGAAAAGUAGUAAACUAGCAACAACAUCAUCCAUUGCAUUAAUAAUAUAAUUAUUAUACAAGUGUGUUCUAUCAAAUUAUAAUAGACACUAAAGCAUAAAUUAAAAUGAAAGAUGAGUGUUGAACGAGCUCCAUCUUCUCUAAACCUAGCAUCUGUACCUGUCUAUGAUGACCUGAGGAUACAAGUAAUUUUGAAAGCGAGUAUCAGCUUUGAAGCUGGUGAGAUCAUAAGUAUUUUAGUGUCUUAAUUUGUAAGUAAGUAUUUGUAUGUAUGAAUUUGUAAGUAUAUGAAUUGUAAGUAUUGAAAGUGUAUAUGAACUGUAAGUAUGAAAAUGUUUGUAAAACAACUGUAAACGUUUGAAAAACACUAGAAAUCCCUAUGAUUCCUAUUAGUAACAAAAGGAGUCUUCUACCAAGACUUAACUGUUCUCAAUGUAGUCUUCUAUCUAGACCUAACUGUUCUCAAUGUAGUCUUCUACCAAGACCUAACUGUUCUGAAUGUAGUCUUCUACCAAGACCUAGUUGUUCUGAAUGUAGUCUUCUACCAAGACCUAGCUGUAUUAGUAUUACCCUUUGGAACAAGGGCAACUAACAAUGUUAACUGAAGACAUCCAUAGAUGUACAUUUACCUCUGUUGCUAACAGCUAGGUAUAGGAAUAGUCAGUCCCCAAAAGUAUACCUGUAAUGAUAUCAACCGUUGACAUCCGUGGAUGUGCUUUUACCUCUGUAGCUAACAGAGAUUCUAAGAAUGGUCAAUCCCUCAAUGUAUCCUCUGGUACUAGGAUAUUAAAUCCAAUCUAUGUCGUCGAUUAUGUGAUUGAAUCACAAGGUAAAGAUAAGAAUGAGGAUUAUAUAACAGAAUCUAUACAUAUAACAUGUACUAGUAGUUCUUGUAAGUGUACUCAUGUAAAUGUGAUAAUGCGACCAUAUCUAUGUAAUAGUAUGGUAAUGUACUAUAAUGUUCUAGCUGUAGUGUACGUGCUCUCUAUCUAGCAAGUAUAGUAAUGUACUGUAAUGUUCAAGCUGUAAUGUACGUGCUCUCUAUCUAGCAAGUAUAGUAAUGUACUGUAAUGUUCUAGCUGUAGUGUACGUGCUCUCUAUCUAGCAAGUAUAGUAAUGUACUGUAAUGUUCUAGCUGUUGUAUACAUGCUCUCUAUCUAGCAAGUAUUGUAAUGUACUGUAAUGUUCUAGCAAAUAUUGACUCACUAAUGAACUAACUCAUUGUAUGGUAUCGCGUUCUAGUAAUAGUUCUAGUAUCUUCCUAAACUACCCGCAUGGUAGUUUACUAGUGAUCUAACUGGUACGUAUGGACAUGGAUGUAUACCCUUGCUACCCAAGGGCAUGGGAUGAACUGGAAGGGCCUUUAUGACUAUAUAUGUACAUAUGUUAUAUAACUAAUAUUUAAACGACCUUCGGACGAGUACCCGAUAUCCCACCAGACCACAUCUCAAGCGCGAAAAGGAAAUAGGGUGGAUAGCCUUCCUAAGUCUUUUAAACAUUUCUUAUAUAACUAUACAUAUAGAGGCAUGCAAUUUAUAAUAUAAAAGCAUAAAUAAGUUUUGUAAAACCUUUGAACAUAAUUAUUAUCUUAAGAAAAGAUCGACUUGAUGUCAAUCUAUAAAACGGUUUGAAGGCAUGGGUUUGAUAAAACGGUUUAGUAUAAAGAAACAUUUGUUUGAAACACAAUUGUAAAUAAGUUUGAAAAGUAAUAUACAGAGAAAAAUGUACAGAGAAAUAAGGAGUUUUAAACACAUAAAGUGUUUAUGAAAGACAUUUGAAGGAAACUGUUUAGUAAAACGGCUAAUGAGUAGCCAAUCAUUUGAAUGCUGCUUAUUAAUCACAUGUGAUUGAUAUAAUAAUUAGCAUAAUUCUACUUGUAUCCCCCCCCCAUAAAACAUUUAAAAACAGUUUAAAACAUUGAUUAAGGGGUAAGAACUCACCUGUAGUAAGUGGAUCGGAAGGAAGUGUGUGAUAAGUGCUUGGUGUCAAGUGAAGACUUAGACACGCACGAAGAUCCUAAUAACAUAUAUGGAUAUAUGUAUACACACAAUUGGUCUUUAAACAACUAAUAAACAAAGUUAAGACACUCUAGGACAUGCUAAACACUUUAUACAAGUGUUAUAAGUCUCAAGGGUUGCAUCUAAGUGUUGUAGGGAAAGGCUAGUGUGUUUAGGGUUCAAGGGUAAACUCCCUUGGAGUUUACGGUUUUGAUGGUCAUGACACCAAGAGUUUAUGGUAGUAAACUCUAGAGUUUGCGGUCGUAAACUCUAGUCCUAAUGACUACGUGUUGUUUGGUGGUUUAACAAGCCUCUUGGAGCAAUUCUACUAAGUGGUUUGGCCUUUGGAAUGGACUAGAGCAUCAAAACAACUCAUUUGACGAGUUUACGGCCUCAUGGAGUUUUCCCUUGGGUUCAUAAACCGUAAACCCAUAUGGAAGAGUGUAAAGCCAUGUUUUCAAGUCCCUAACACACUUAGGGAAGUGUAUGAGCUAGUUUCUAAGCCUACGGAAGGAAAUUAACUCAUUUAGACAUACUUUUGGGUGUUCACGGUUUUGGGAGAUCCCCAAACCGUAAACACCUAUAUUUGUGGGCAUUUGAUGUUUUUCAAGGCUUAAACUCAACAAAGGAAGGUUUAAACAUGUCAAGGAUGGUUUAAACAUCAAAACUAGGUCUUAGAUAAGGACUUAGGCACACUUUGGUGCCCUUUAUGGUGUUUACGACCCAAGAACAUUCUUGGACCGUGAACACCUUCAAUCUUGUGUUCUUGACAUAUUUUCUUGAUGUUUAAAUGUAUUACUAGCUUAAAAUCACUCAAGGAUAGAAGCACUUACUAUUGGAAGGCUUGAUUUGUGCUAAAAGGCCAAGAACACUUAGUGUGUUCCUGGUGUUCUUGGUAUUUUGGAAAAUCUAAACAAAAACCGGAAAUGAAUGGAUGAAUAGAUGCACAAACACUAGAUUAAGUGUUUUACUAACUUGAAAGGGUUAAAACACUUACAAGAUUGAAGAUUUAGAAUUAAAUCUUGGAUGAUACUUGAGAGAAAACUUGGAGUUUACUCUUUUGACUUUUGGGGAGUAAACACAAAUGACUAACUUUUUGGGGAGUAAACUCAUACAUAGGCACGAGUUUACGGUUUUGGUGAUUUCUAAAUCCAAAACANGGCCAAGAACACUUAGUGUGUGUUCCUGGUGUUCUUGGUGUUUUGGAAAAUCUAAACAAAAACCGGAAAUGAAUGGAUGAAUAGAUGCACAAACACUAGAUUAAGUGUUUUACUAACUUGAAAGGGUUAAAACACUUACAAGAUUGAAGAUUUAGAAUUAAAUCUUGGAUGAUACUUGAGAGAAAACUUGGAGUUUACUCUUUUGACUUUUGGGGAGUAAACACAAAUGACUAACUUUUUGGGGAGUAAACUCAUACAUAGGCACGAGUUUACGGUUUUGGUGAUUUCUAAAUCCAAAACAUAAAAGUUUGGUCGGGUGUUUCAAAUACGCGAAGUGUUUGCGGUUUUCAAAAAUCAAAGCCCGAGACGACACUUUCUUUCACCCGUUCGUUUAAAAAUAAUAUUAAAAUAACCAAACAAACUUUAUAUUUCAUAAAAAUAAGAAAUAAUGACAUUGACUUAUGAUACAAAGGGGUUGACUUUUAUGGUUUGACCGAAUGGAAAUUUCAGGUUGUCACACUCGGACUGGCGUCUGUCCGCAAACUCUUCUGACGACUCUGAGUGGUCAACAACCUCUGUCUGACCUGCUGGAUCUGCUCUGUCGUCCGAAGCACAAUCUCGAUACUACCCAUCACGCGCUGCCCUACUUCUCCCCAGCAGAUAGGGGUCCGACACCUCCUCCCAUACAACAGCUCAAAGGGCGGCAUGCCAAUGCUCGAGUGAUGGCUGUUAUUGUAAGAGAACUCUGCCAAGGGCAAAUACAUGUCCCAACUUCCGCCGAAAUCCAACACACAUGCUCGGAGCAUGUCCUCGAGCGUCUGAAUCAUCCGUUCACUCUGCCUGUCGGUCUGUGGGUGGUACACGGUACUAAAAUGCAGUUUCGUACCCAAUUCCUCAUGAAACUUCUUCCAGAAUCUGGAAGUGAAACAUACAUCUCGAUCUGAGACAAUCGAAAUCGGUACUCCAUGCCACGAUACUACCUCUCUCACGUACAUCUCCGCCAAAUUCUCCGCGGAAGAGCUCUCAUUGAUGGCCAGGAAAUGAGCACUCUUUGUCAACCUAUCCACAAUCACCCAAAUUGCAUCGACACCCCCUCGCGGUUCUUGGCAAUUUGGUGAUGAAAUCCAUGGCAAUUUGUUCCCAUUUCCACUCGGGAAUCUCUAAUGGCUGCAACUUACCAUGAGGACACUGAUGCUCGGCCUUAACCCUGCGAGAGGUCAAGCAUCUCUCUACAAACCAUGCGACAUCCCUCUUCAUACAGGGCCACCAAUAAUCCUUUUUUAGGUCCAAAAACAGCUUAGUGGCCCCGGGAUGGAUCAAGAAUUUCAAUUGAUAAGCCUCCUCCAUCAAAAUGGUACGCAUCCCGCCCACGGACGGUACCUAAAUCCGACCCUGAAAUAUCAUAAGCCCCCGGCUAUCGGUAACGAACUCCGAUACCAGCCCGACAACUCGUUCCCUCUUCUGGCUCUCAGGCUGCACAGCCUCAGCCUGGGCCCCUCGUAUAGCAUCCAAAAUCGGGGUCAUCACCGUCAAUCUCAAACAUACAUCUCGCAAUGGGGCGCUCUCCACCCUACGGAUCAGUACAUCGGCUACAACAUUAGCCUUGCCCGGGUGGUACAGGAUCUCAAAAUCAUAAUCCUUGACCACAUCCAACCACCUCCUCUGUUGCAUAUUUUGGUUGGGCUGAUCCAUCAAAUACCUCAAGCUCUUGUGGUCUGUGUAUAUCGUACACCGAACCCGUUACAGGUAGUGUCGUCAGAUCUUGAGAGCGAACACUACCACUCCCAGCUCCAAAUCAUGAGUGGGAUAUCUUGACUCAUGAGGCUUAAGCUGCCUCGAUGCAUAUGCUAACACAUGCCCCCUCUGCAUAAGCACCGCUCCCAAUCCGGAUAUCGAUGCGUCACAAUAAACCACAAAAUCCUCCAUACCUUCCGGAAGGGCUAACACUGGGGCUUUGCAUAACUUCCUGCGAAGUGUCUCGAACGAGGUAUGCUGCUCCGGACCCCAAGAAAACGCAACACCCUUUCGGGUCAACUUGGUGAGUGGCACGGCGAUCUUGGAGAAAUCCUUAAUAAAUCUCCGAUAAUAGCCGGCCAAUCCCAGAAAACUCCUGAUCUUGGUGGGUGAUCUCGGCACCUCCCACCUCAUAACCACCUCAAUAUUGGCCGGGUCGACUAAAACCCCCUUCUAGUUAACGAGAUGCCCCAAAAACUGGACCUCUCGUAACCAGAACUCACAUUUGGAGAACUUGGCAUAAAGUCUCUCCGAUCUCAGAACUCCGAGGAUCUCCCUCAAAUGCUCUUCAUGCUGCUCUCUGGAUCUCGAAUACACCAGAAUGUUGUCGAUGAACACGAUCACCGAGCGGUCCAACAUUGGUCUGCACACCCUGUUCAUGAGAUCCAUGAACACCGCUAGUGCGUUGGUGAGUCCGAAAGGCAUCACCACGAAUUCGUAAUGCCCAUAAUGAGUCCGGAAGGCUGUCUUCUGUACGUCAUCCUCCCGCACCCUCACCUGGUGAUACCCAGACCUCAAAUCGAUCUUGGAGAACCAAGAUGUUCCCUGCAAUUGAUCAAACAAAUCAUCGAUCCUUGGCAACGGGUAACGGUUCUUGACCGUUAGCUUAUUCAGCUCAUGAUAAUCGAUGCACAUCCGGAGCGAGCCAUCCUUCUUCUUGACAAAAAAGGAUAGGCGCUCCCUAAGGCGAACUGCUCGGCCUGAUAAAUCCCUUCCCUAACAGUUCUUGAAGCUGCGAGGACAACUCCUGCAUCUCCGGAGGCGCAAGGCGAUACGGCGCCUUAGCGAUAGGCCCAGCUCCUGGAACCAACUCAAUACCGAACUUUACUUGCCUCUCCGGAGGCACACCCGGCAAGUCCUCUGGAAUCACAUCCGGAAACUCACGCACUAUCGGAACCUCAUCAACUGACUUCGGUCUCUCAAUAUCAACCCUCGCAUCCAUCACAUAUGCCACAAAACCCCUACAGCCCUCUUGUAGACUCUGUCUCGCUCUGCCGGCCAAACAAAAUGCUGACCCCGUACGUGUACCCUCACCGUACACCGUAAGAACUCCCCCACUAGGGUCUCGAAUCGUCACCAAUUGACGCUCGCAGUCUAUCAUAGCUCCAUAUCGGCUCAACCAAUCCAUACCUACUAUAACACACACAUCCCCCAUCGCAAUCGGGACCAGAUCUAUCGGGAACUCCACACCGAAGAUCUCAAGGACACAUCCUCGAAUCACAUCUGAAGCAUACACAGCUCGCUCAUCAGCUAUGGAAACUCGCAGAGGCCGAUCCAAUGCCUCUCGAUGGGUGCUCAUAUGCUGACUAAAUGCUAUGGAAACAAACGUCCGACUCGCACCCGAGUCAAAUAACACCAAUGCAGGCACAGAAUUCAGAAGAAAAGUACCUACGCAUAUGAUCAUAUAAGCAUAAAAUCUUAACUCAAACAAAAGAUGAAAAGAAAACACAUACCAGCCACAACAUCGGGCGUCGUGCGGACCUCCUCCGCAGUCAACUGGAAUGCUCUCCCACGAGCCCUCGGGGCCUCGUCCUUCACCGGCCGAACCUCGGUAACCCUAGCAGCAGGCGCAGAUCCCUGCGUUGAUCCCUGAAGAAGCUACGGGCACUCAGCCUUCCGAUGGCCGGUCUGGUUGCAAUGAAAGCAAACCGAGAAUCCCUUGGGGCAUUCCCUCACGAUAUGCCCCUCCUUCCCACACUUGUAACAUACCCCAGCUCUGCAUGACCCCUCAUGGCUCUUACCGCACUUCCCACAAGUGCGGCCCUUCGCGCCCCCAAAUCUCGAAUCAGCGGAUCUAGCCCGCUUGGCUGGCGGCUGAGACUGGGCCAGCCGCCGAUCCAUCCUCUGAGACUCGGCCUCCUCCCUGGCCUGAGUCUCCAGCUCGAUCUCCCUCUUCCGACCAUUUGCCUGGAGCUCAGCAAAUGUCCGGUAAGUCGAGUUCGCCACGAACUCUCGAAUAUCUCUCCACAGAACACCCAGAUAACGGCUCAUACAAGCCUGCUCAGUCGACACCUGCUCAGGGCAAAACAUCACCCUCUCAUGGAACUUCCUGGUGAUGACUGUCACCGAAUCAGUAUCCUGCUUGAGGGUCAAGAACUCCUGGCUCAACCAUUCCCUCUCUACCGGGGGAACAUACUCCUCUCGGAACAUAGCGGUGAACCUCUCCCAGGUCACCUCAGAAAUCUCAGCGAAAGUAAAGUUUGCCGUCAUGAACUUCCACCAAUCCUUCGCUCCUAGGUGGAGCUGUUUCAAGGCGAACCGAACCCUCAAGUGCUCUGGACAAGAGCACGUAUAGAAACAUCCCUCGAUGUCAGAGAUCCACCUCAUAGCGGCAAUCGGGUCUUGCGUCCCGUCGAACUCUGGUGGCUUCGUGUUGCUGAACUCUUGGAACAACAACGAGUCACCUCCCUGACAUCUGGCAGCAGCGACAGCAGUAGUAGCUGCAGCNUCAGUCAACGCUGCGUACCGCUCAUCAAAAGUCUCGAUCAAUGUGGUCUUGAUGUCCCCAAACAUCUCAGGAAUCUCAGCUCGGAUGGCAGCAGCCACCUCCUCAUGAAUCAUCUGACGGAUCUCCUCAUCGCUGACACCACUGGUCCCAGGUGUGUGUCGAGUCCCAACCAUGAUGUCUCUAAAAUACAACAAAAAUUAUCAGAGAUCAAUCGAACAUGCUCAUACUCGAUGAUGCAACCCUACUUGUCCUCUGUCGUCUAAAAGAUUCUUACUUGAAAUGACCACUGAUCCGGUGUCUUCAGUAGUACGGGCCCAAUACUACUGACCACACUGCACCAGCAUUCACUUCAAGUCCUCCUCCUUGGAUCUUGGAUUACAAGUACUCUAUUCUCAUGAGCUCCUAACUGCUAUCACUCGCCCUCAAAGCAUCUCAGCAGCAGAAAACUCCUAGGCUAAGGCAUCACAAAUCAGGCCACUCUAGUCCUAAUAUGUAUACUUAGCCUACUCUAGCAUGCAUAAUAUAACAUAUCUCGUAACACAUAAAGUAAGGGUACUUUUGGGGAAUUCGUCGUUCGGGCGCUGGCUGAUCGUACACACGGCUCUGCUCUGUUUGUCUCAAAACUCUGUUACUCUUUUCAAAAAAUUUACUUUAUUAUAAAAAUUCUCCUCAAUUCCUCAGUUUGAGUUCAGAUACGCCCGAAGAUGCAUCUAAAUCCCUCAAACCAAGGCUCUGAUACCAACUUGUAACAACGUAAAUUUUUCAAAACAAUUUUUUCAUUUUCAAAACAUUCAUUUAUUCACAAAAUAAGAUCACCCAUAUUGUAUCAAAUGUAUUUAUCACAAAAACAUCUCCCCAGAAUCCAAAACAUAAACUUCUCAAGUGUGUACGGAUCAUGUCGGCGCCUUCCCGCGCUCAUCACUGGUACCUGAAACACAUCACACAACAACUGUAAUCAUAAAUGCUUAGUGAGUUCCCCAAAAUACCGCAUACAAAACAUACGCCACUCAAGGCUAUAAUACGACCCUCCGGUCUAUAUGUCUCAGCAGGACCCUCCAGUCCCGUAGCACGUUGGACCCUCUGGUCCGGUCAUAGCUCAUUGGGCCCUCCAGCCCGGUCUGUAUCGUUGGACCCUUCGGUCCGGUCUAUAACAACAUACAACAUACACAUAACACAUAACACAUAAUCUCAUACAUAACACAUAAGACCCUCUGGUUUACAUAAUAUACCACUCUAGGUAAGUAUAGUGAGAAGACUCACCUCGAUGUCUCGAUAAUAUCUGACUCGGAAUAAAUGUGAUCUAGCCUCCGCCUAAUCACACAAAGUAAUACACUCAUAAAUACAACUGUACCCAACCCUAAAAGUCAACAAGGUCAACGGUUAACUUUGACCGGACUCAGCGAGUGCACUAGGGCGACUCGGCGAGUCUACUAGUGUCCACUAACUCUCUUGGAUCCUCUCUUGACACGCCGAGUACCUCCCUGACUCGACGAGUUCCACCUGGCAUGAAUCGCAGGACCACCAUGACUCAACUCGCCGAGUCUCAAGAACAACUCGGCGAGUUCCCGCUUGAACUCAGUCCCCCCUGACUCACCCUGACUCACUGAGUCGUUCCCUCAACUCGACAAGUCCACUCACUGAGUGAUUACGGGUAAACUUCAUACUACUCGUCGAGUCUGUUCUUCAGACUCGGCGAGUUCAUGUCAUGCAUAAACUCAAAACCACUUCUGAGAUCAGAUCUGUUCCAUACAAUCAUAGAUCUGGCCUCCCCAAGCAUGAUAAUCACGUAAAGUCCAAACCUUGAUGCUCAAACAACAACUAUUUGCUCUUAUAUGAUGUUCUAGCCCCAUAUUUCAUAACCCAUGGUCAAAAAUCCCAUGAAUCCUCAUAAAGCUUGAGGAAUAAAGCUUCUCUGGACCUUUAUGGAUCCCAUUCCAAGCCUCAUCACAAAUAGGGACGAAAUGGACAUCAAAUCUAACCAACAAAGGGAUCAAGAAACCCUAAACCCCCAUGUUCAUCAUAACAACAGAAAGGGAGCCAAAAUAUUACCUCCGAAGUGAUGCUCUGAGCUCUAAAUUCGAAGAAUGUCCACCUUCCUUUCUUCCUCAUAGCUAGAACAUCCUUUGCCUUGCCAAACAAUGCCUCAAAGGUUAACAAUGGCCUCCUCUCUCUCCCAAAACGCUCAAGAUCUCUUUAAGGUUUCUCUCUGGGGUUGGUGGCCGCAAAUGACAGCCAUAAGCCCCUUUAAAUAGGUCUCAAACCCUGGAAAUUAGGGUUUCAUUAAACAGCAUGGACUCGCCGAGUCCAGAUGCGAACCCGCGUGCAAAACCGCGAUCCUACUCGGUGAGUUUAGACUCCAACUCGUCGAGUCUCCUCACAAAACUCAAAAAUAAAAGGAUAAAAAUAAUACCUGGGAAUCCGGAUGUUACAGAUGCUCCAUGGAGGCUCCAUGGUGUUUAUAGAACCCAAGGGUCAUGGAAAUGAAAAGUCAUGACAAUUAGAUAUUACAUGGUGUAACCCUAAUUGUAACACACUAUAUAAGCUUCAUGUUAUUCACCAAAAUCGGCCACUAAGUAAUACAAGUGAUGGCUAGCCGAUUUCUAAGUGUUCUUCAUUUCUCUCUAAGUUAUUCCAAGUGCAUUUGGUGUUGUGUGAGAAAUUUGAGGCAUCACACUUGAGGUGCUAGACUCACAAGGUUUUCAAGGAAUCCAAUCUACUACAAGGUAUGUUUUAUUGCUUACUUUUAGGUUUAAAAGUUCCCCAUGUAUGCUAGAUAGGAUAUAAACUUUGGAAAAACAAAUUUUCCAUGUAUCAUAGAUAAAACGUAGAUCCAAGGUUUCUAGGGUUGCAUGUACACCAUAGGAACGUUGGAAUGCUCAAAACCCUUGAGUGGUAUCAGAGCCUAGGCUUAUUUGUUUGAUACUUGAUGCAAAAUUGUGAAAAAAAACUCGGUUUUUCUGCACUCUGUAGCAUGAACUCGCCGAGUCCAUGGGGGGACUCGACGAGUCCAUGAGUAAACUUAUCCUGCUCGUCGAGUAGGUUCUUGCACUCGAUGAGUAGGACCCACAGAAUGCAGUUUUUCGAGUUUUGCUGCUGGAAAUGGACUAGAAACAUUACCGUAAACUGUUUUGGUGCUAUAAAACUUGUUUUAGAUGGUGUAGUGGUUAUGUUAAUCCAUUUUCAAUAGCUAUUAUCAAAUUUUCAUGUUCUAUAGGGUUAAUUUUAUAAUUCUUGAAAUUGUUGAUAUGCAUGUUCAUGAACUUAUGAGUUUAGAAGAUCAUAGGAAUUAAUUGAAACUUACUUGUUAGUUUAAUUCUUGAUCAUUAUGUUUUAAUGGAAUCCAUAAUUUGUCCUCAAGUUAUGGAUUACCAAAAGUCACUCUUUUAAAGUCGAUUAUUAAACACAUAGGUUACAUACAAUGAAAAGUUACUCAUUUUAUUAACCCAUUAACUCAUAAGUUAUGAAAGAUGAAAAGGUUUGAAUGUUACAAAACUUGACCUCAAGUUUUGGAACAUUUAAGUAGUGGUAUGAAGAUACAUGUUUUCACCAGGCUCCUAAGUCCGACCUAUUCAGCUUCUUUGUAUCACAAGUAGUGGUACGGAGAUACAUGAAUUUUGAUGUUUGGAUCUCAUGAGCGAUUCAAGUAGAUAUAGUCCAUUAGUUUAAUAAGAUGUUGUAAGGCUUAUUAAGACUAGUUUAUGCUUAUGUUUUUUAUAAGUUGUGACCAUCCCAUGUUUUUUUAUGAAAACCGUUUCAUCGGAAAAGUUUUGGUUUAAAAAAAAAUUGGAACAAAUUCCACAAUAAAAGAAUAAUUUGAAUUAAAUAAGCAUCAAGAAAAAGUUUUAAUUGGCCGUGAAUUUGUAAUUUCGAGGACAUCUAGAUUUAAACUUAAAAUGCUAAGCGAUGAUCAUGAGAUGCGUGUCUAUUUUAUUUAAGGUUGUAUAACUGAAUUGACACAAGCACUAGCUUACUUUAGGAUAGAAUGCCUAAUUUGAUGUAAUGUACUACAUGAUUUAUAUUAUAGCAUGCCUUAGGUUACCUACCUGAAUUGCUAUUACUUGAGUAGAUCUAAGGUCUAUUGUCGAACUUGAUUUGGAAAAUUUAUGUGUUCAGGAUUCUAAACAUAAAAUUAGUGUAUCGGAAGUGGCAUAUAACUUUUAGGGUGAUAAGGAGGAUUAUGCGUCUAAACAUAACUAAAACCUUAUUUAUCAUUAUAUACCCACGAUUCUAGGAACGUACACGACUGUGUGGUAUACAAAAUAUCAUGGUGAAAACUCAUAGCAGAUUGGGAAAUGGCAACAAGAAUCAGCAGCCUGAACCCCGAUAUGCAAUCGAGCAUGCACCAUAAGUAGUGCCAACAGUUGAACCAAUCAUGAUGGAAGGAGCUCAAGCCUUAAUGUAGGCAAUGCUAGUUGAGAAAAUGGAGCAGACCAGCCAACUGCUAUAAGGGAAUAGAAGAUAAGUCACUACACCGAUUGUACAACCUGAACUGAAUGAGGAAUGGUCCAAGAAGGAAAAUAUAGUAGGAUUGUUGGCCAAGCUAAACCACAAAAGGUUAAUAGGAACAACCGUGAUUUAGGAUUUUAAAAGGAUGGAUGUAAGUAAAGGACUUUACGACUUGAAAACCAACUACUUUUAAUGGGAAAGAAAAUCCAAUUGGAAUCAUGGAUUGGAUUUAUGACAUGGAGCUAGCCUUCAUAAUAGGUGGUUCCGAGGGCAAGUUGUAAACUACUUAUGUUGUGCAUCAGUUUAGGGGUAGGAUUGUUCAUUGGUGGAACACGUUAUGGAAGCUCAUAAGCCUUAACAAGCUACUAUAGCUGAGAUGGGCAGAGUUCUUACACUUCAAAUGCAAGUUUUGCUCAGCCUAAAACCUGUUAGAGCUGGAAAACACAUUUGUAACAUCCUAAAGUAAGGUAUGCAUCGAUGACCAUAACUUUUAUUGCACUUUCAAGACUAGUCCUUAUUUGAGAAAAAAGGUGGCAGUUGAGUACUAGUCCUUAUUUCAGAAAAAGGGGGCAGUUGAGUAUGUAGGGUGUACGUAUUUCUAUGCUCAGUGUACUCGUCCGUGUAUCAUGAAUGUGGAGGCUACCUAGUACGCGGGGCGUACCAGAGGGUACGCAGGGCGUACUAAGCUUAGAGUGAAAACCCUAAUUGUCUUAUGUGUCCCUAUGUAAGUAACAUGAUGGCCUCAUUUCUAGCCUCCAACUCCCCUCAAACCCUAAAUCUCGUUUCCAUAGCUUGUGUGAGCAUUUGUAGCUUAUUGAGUGUUCUUGUAGAGUUCUUUUGUGAAGAAGGAACCUUGAAGGAAGAAGAGUGGUGUCCAAGCUUUUGGAUCUGAGUUUCUCUGUGGUUGGUGCAUCAUCUAGAGGUAUCAAGCUCAAAGCUUUCUCAUUGUUUUGAUUAUUUUUGGUCCUUUUUUACGGAUUUAUAUCCCAAGCUUGAAAAUUUAUGAGUUUGAUGAAGUCCAGAGCAUAAUACCUGUGCUUUUAAAUGUUUUUUGUCGUUUGGAUUCAUAAAAAUGACAUCUUGGUCAUCAAGAUCCCUCCAUGCAUGAGAUAUGUGGACCUUUGUAAGUAAAUGAUUAUAGUUUAUGAGUUUUGGACUUGCCCAUCCAUGCUAAGGCUAAAAGUCACCAACUUUGUGAAGUAAUAGGCACUAGUUAGCCCAGAUCUGAGAUUGUAGCAAUUGUCAUAACGAAUUCAGACGAUGAGAGUAAGAAAAGUGAGUUUGGGACGUACAUCGUACGUACCCUAGUUACGUGCAGCAUACCGUUGAGUCCACCCUCAUGCAUGCAUUACCAGUUUUACGCCCAACAGAGAGGGCUAUACGCGCAUCGUACGUGUUGGGUGUUUACAUUCGUUGACUUUUAGGGUCUUUGUCAUGUUGUGGACUUUGAAGGCCAUGGAGGGGUAAAAUGGUCUUUUACCCCUUUGAGGUUUAGUAGAGAAACCUAGCCAACAUCUUUGAGGGGUGUUAAUAUCAAUUCAUAAUUAGAGUUAUAUGUGACAUAUGUUAGGCGUAGUUUAGAAUGAUAGUUCGGGUUCGGGAUUUACUUGCUUUACUUCGGGAUGAGUCUUCUCACUUUACUUACCUGAGUGGUAAUUUAUGUGUGAUCGGAGGGUCUUGAUCGUGUUACCGACCGGAGGGUCUUAUUCGUGUUAUUGACUGGAGGGUCUUAUUUUCUUAUACUAAGUUAUGUGUUAUUAUGCUUCUUGUCAUUGUGACUUAUGAUGUUAUAUUAUUCUGUGUAUAUAUUGAGUUAUGGCUAGAGGUUCCAUACCGACACGUGAGUCUGGAGGGUCUUCACUGAGACAUAUCAAUGGAGGGUCCUUAUCAAGAUAUAGCCAUCAGAGGCUAAUUAUUUGUGUAUGUGGUAUUUUGGGGAACUCACUUAGCUUCGUGCUUACUGUGUAUGUGUGAAAUGUGUUUCAGGUACAUCUCAGGAUCACAGGAAGGCGUUGGCAUGAUUGUACACACCAACUUGAUGAUUUGUGUUUAUGUGGAUUCUGGGAAAUUUUUCAAACAAUUUCUGAUGUUUUGUGUUUGAGAAAAUUCAAAUUUGCAUGAGAAACGCUAAACUAUUUUUGUGUGAACUUUUAAAAUGAAAAUUUUGUUUGCAAAUUUAGAGUGCUACAAGUUGGUAUCAGAGCCUUGGUUUGAGGGAUUCGGAUGAACCGUCGGGUAUGUAUGGACUAAAACCAUGGAGUUGAUAAAUUUUCAAAAAUAAAUGAUUUUCUAAAUGGGCAAAGAACGUUUAAUAGGAAAGCGAGACGAAGCAGUGUGUACAAUUAGCCAGAGCCCAAGCGCCAAAAUAACCUUACUUGAGUAUAUUAUGAGAUCAGUUACUUUUGAGCUAUUAGAAUUGCAUGCUAGAUGGUAGGCUAGGUAUUUUCUGUAAUUUUGAGUUAGAGUUGCCUGAUUCAUGAUGCCUUAGCCUAGGAGGUCAUUCUUGAACGACAUUAUCCUUACCAUUUACUAUGUGUGUUGCUUAGUUGUACAUGGCGAAGAUCUUUACGAGACAGAUUAGAGUUGAGGAGUGGUCUAGGAGGAGUAUCUUAUGAGAGAGUAGUUAUAUCCAUGAGGGAUAGAGUACCUGGGUUGGUGUGGAAGGUAGUAUUGGGCCCGUACUACUGAAAGCACUUGAUCUAUACGCGACUCAAGUAAGAAUCUCGGGAUACUAAGAAGAAUUUAAGGAUGUGUAAAUGUGUGUGUGCUUUAGCCUAUCCCUGAUGAUUUCUGUGUUUACGUUUCAGAGAGAGAGAGACUAUGGUGGUUACCCGAGGUUCAGGCUCCAACAACCCCGAGAGGGUGAGUACCAGUGAUGAUGAGAUCCACAGGAUUAUUGCGGUGAGAUGGCCAUAUCUAUCAGGGAGGCAAUUCUAGAGAUGUCUAGGUCUAUUAAGACCAUGUUGAUUGAGACUUUUGACGAGCGUUAUGAUGCCAUCACUGAGGUUGCCACUGUCGCUGCCACCGCAACCCUUGCAGCAGCAAUGCCACAAGGGGGAGAUUCGUUGAUAUUCUGAAAGUCCAACAACAUGAAGCCACCAGAGUUUGACGGGACCUUGGACUCGAUUGUUGCAAUGCGAUGGAUCUCUAAUAUCGAGGUAUGCUUUUAUACUUGUUCAUGCACUGAGAACCUGAGGAUUUAAUUUGCGCUGAAGCAGCUUCGCUUGGGAGCAAAGGAAUGGUGGAAGUUUGUGACGAUUGAUUAUUCUCCUACAGAUCAUGCUGCAGUGACUUGGGAAAGAUUCAACCAACUAUUUCAAGAUGAGUUUGUUCCCCAGGUGGAGAGGGAACGGUUGGCCCAGGAGUUUUUAUCUCUCAGGCAGAAGACAGAGACAGUGACGGAGAUCACGAGGAUGUUUCAUGAGACGGUGUUAUUUUGCACUGAGCACGUGUCUACUGAGUAGGCAUGUGUGAGCCGGUACUUAAGCCUUUUGAGGAAGGACAUUAUGGAGUUCGUGGCGAACUCAUCAUAUUGGACAUUGGCUAAGCUACAGACCAAUGUCAGGAGGAGGGAGAUCGAGCUGGAGACUCGGACGAGGGAGAGUCUCAAGGGAGAGACACAAGACUAGUACAGUCGCAACCGGCGACCAAGCAUGCUAAGCCCGCUGAUACUAGAGUGGGAGGCCAAAAGGGCCACAGUUGUGGGAAGUGCGGUAAGAGUAAUGAGGGAUCUUGUCGAACGGGAUUUGUUUCAAAUGCGGCAAGGAGGGGCAUAUGGUGAAGGAUUGGCCCAAGGGAUUUUUAGUUUGCUUUCAUUGCCCUCAUACUGGCCACCGAAAGGCUGAGUCUCCGCAGCUCACUCAGGGAUCAUCCCAGGCCCCUGCUCCUGCUACCUUGCAUGUCACUAAUGGUCGGCCCGGGAACACCGAGGCUCCGAGAGCUCAUGGGAGAGCUUUCCAGUUGACUGCGGAGGAGGUCCGUGCAACACCUAAUGUUGUUGCUGGUAUGCAUCUCCUUAUUCAUGUUGUUAUUAUAGUUAUUUUAUGCUUAUAUUGUGUUUAAUAUAGGUACUUUUCUUGCGAAUUUUGUGCCUGCCUUGGUGCUAUUUGACUCGGGUACGAGUUCAUCCUUCGUCUCUUUAUCCUGUAGCCAUCACAUUAUUGUUAGACGCGAGGCUUUGAGUCGACCAUUGAGGGUUUCUAUAGCCAACGAGCAUGCGGUUUUUGCUACUGAUAUAUUCCAGGAUUGUGUUUUGGAGAUUUUUGGUGUGGAGUUCCCAAUAGAUAUGGUGUCGAUAGCGAUGGGAGAUGUCUGCGUCAUAGUGGGAAUGGAUUGGUUGAGCCGAUUUGGAGAUGUGAUUGAUUGCGGGCAUCGGAUGGUGAUGAUUCGAGACCCUAGUGGGGGAGUACUUACUAUUUAUGGCGAGGGAACUAGAUCGGGAUCAGCCUUCUGCUCUGCUACUAGGGCAAGACAGAGUCUGUAGCAUGGAUCUAUUGUCUUUUUAGCUUAUUUAGUGGGUACCCGGGUUGUCAAGGAGAGGUUGAUUUCUGUUUCCAAUGUUUCUAGUGGUAUGUGAUUUCCAGGAUGUUUUUCCCGAGGAUUUGCCUGGUGUGCCUCCUGAGAGGCAGGUGGAGUUCUGGAUCGAUUUGGUUCCAGGGGCGGCGCCUAUUUUCAAGGCACCAUAUCAUCUUGCACCGCCCGAGAUUAAGGAGUUAUCCUUGCAACUUCAGGAGCUGUUAGGAAGGGUUUCAUUCGGCUGAGUAGUUUGGCGUGGGGAGCGUCGAUCCUUUUUGCCAAGUAGAAGGAUGGUUCACACCAGAUGUGCAUCGAUUACUGGGAUUUGAACAACUUGAAGGUUAAGAACCGUUAUCCAUUGUCGAGUAUCGACGACUUAUUUGAUCUGUUGAAGGGAGCGUCUUGGUUUUCCAAGAUUGAUUUGAGAUCUGGAUACCAUUAGAUGAGGGUCUACGAGGAGGAUAUUCAGAAGACGAACUUUCAGACUUGUUAUGGGGAUUAUGAGUUUGUGGUGAUGCCUUUCAGACUCACUAACACACCGGCAACGUUCAUGGACCUCAUAAACCGGGUGUGUGUAGGCCCAUGUUAGACUAGUCGGUGCUCGUGUUCAUUCACGAUAUUUUGGUAUACUCGAAGUCUAGGGAACAGCACGAGCAGCAUCUUUGGGAGAUUCUUGGAGUGUUGAGGAUGGAGAGGCUUCAUGCCAAAUUCUCCAAGUGUGAUUUUUGGUUACGAGAGGUUCAAGUCUUAGGACACCUCGUUAAUCAGAGAUUUCUCCAAGAAUGUUGUUCCUCUCACCGAGUUAACCCAGAAGAAUGUCGUUUUUACUUGGGGGCCUGAGCAAUAGGUAUCAUUCGAGACUCUUCGUCUGAGGUUGUGUGAGGCUUUAGUGUUAGCUCUCCUGGAGGAAGUAGAGGACCUCGUAGUCUACUGUGAUGCAUCCAUAUCGGGGUUGGGUGAUGUGUUGAUGUAGAGAGGGCAUGUGAUAGCAUAUGCGACGAGGCAACUAAUGCCUAACGAGACGAGAUAUCCAACCCAUGAUCUGGAGUUGGGGAUAGUGGUAUUUGCCCAUCGAGAUUUGGUGUCACUACCUUUAUGGUUUUCGAUGUACCAUAUGCACGGACCAUGAGAUGGUUGGAUGUACUGAAGGACUACGAUCGUGAGAUUUUGUGUCAUCCAGGCAAGGUUAAUAUGGUAGUUGAUGCCCUGAGCAACGAGUGCUCCGAUUCGAGACAUGUGUACGAGGAUGACGGUGAUGACUCCAGUCUUAGAUGUCAUCCGAGAGGUCCAAGCGGUGGCCAUGAGACCAGAUAACCGCAACAGAGAGCAGGCGAUCGGGCAAAUUUAUGGGUUUGAUAUGGAUAGUCGGGGGCUUAUGACCUUCCCUGGGCGGAUAUGGGUACCAUAUGCGGGUGGAGCUCGACAUAUUUUGAUGGAGGAGGCCCAUAAAUCGAGGUUUUCCAUUCAUCAUUGGGCCACAAAGAUGUACUUGGAUUUGAAACACGAUUAUUGGUGGCCCUGUAUGAAGAGAGAUGUGGCAUGGAUAAUUGAGAGGUUUUUGACUUGUCGCAAGGUCAAGGCAGAGCACUAGCGUCCUCAUGGCAAGUUCCAGCCUCUAGAUCUUCAUUUAUGGAAGUGGGAUACUGUAACGCCCGGGUUUCAGGGCUAAGCAUAUUUCUCAAUGUAAUAGUCUAGGUCGACUAUUGUAACUCCUUUUGAAGUAAUAAAGAUGAAAUAUUUGAGUAUUAUGUGAAUUAUGUGUGUUAUUGUGCUUAUUGUUUAAUUAUAAAUGUAUAAUUAAUAAAGAAUAAAAAUAAGCGUUAAAAUUAAAGUGUGAGAUAAACCCAAUAUCUCUACAUAAAGUUGUAGUGGUCGAAACAAGGAUUCCAGGGAUAUAAGGAACGCCGAAAUCCGAGUUAUAACGAAGAAGUUAUGACCCGUCGAAGUUUCGCGACAGAACCGGCACAAUACCGGGAAGCGUAAAUACUAAAUUUACGAUAAAGCGAGAUUUAGCCUUAGCGCUCUAAAAGAAAGUCGUAGAAUAUGUUAAACUAAGAACAUCGAUAAAAAGAACGCCCAAAUCUGACUUCGUAUGAGGAAGUUAUGAUUUUUCUAAUAUUUAGCAUAACAGUGCACAACCCGAAAUCUGAAUUUUAGAUCGGUCGAUUUUUAGCCGACGGGAUCUAAAUGAAAGUUGUAGUACUCGUAAAUACCAACGCGUGGAUAUAAAGAACGUCGAUAAUAGAGCUCGUAUGCGAAAGAUAUGGACGAAGCUUAGUCCNNNNNNNNNNNNNNNNNNNNNNNNNNNNNNNNNNNNNNNNNNNNNNNNNNNNNNNNNNNNNNNNNNNNNNNNNNNNNNNNNNNNNNNNNNNNNNNNNNNNNNNNNNNNNNNNNNNNNNNNNNNNNNNNNNNNNNNNNNNNNNNNNNNNNNNNNNNNNNNNNNNNNNNNNNNNNNNNNNNNNNNNNNNNNNNNNNNNNNNNNNNNNNNNNNNNNNNNNNNNNNNNNNNNNNNNNNNNNNNNNNNNNNNNNNNNNNNNNNNNNNNNNNNNNNNNNNNNNNNNNNNNNNNNNNNNNNNNNNNNNNNNNNNNNNNNNNNNNNNNNNNNNNNNNNNNNNNNNNNNNNNNNNNNNNNNNNNNNNNNNNNNNNNNNNNNNNNNNNNNNNNNNNNNNNNNNNNNNNNNNNNNNNNNNNNNNNNNNNNNNNNNNNNNNNNNNNNNNNNNNNNNNNNNNNNNNNNNNNNNNNNNNNNNNNNNNNNNNNNNNNNNNNNNNNNNNNNNNNNNNNNNNNNNNNNNNNNNNNNNNNNNNNNNNNNNNNNNNNNNNNNNNNNNNNNNNNNNNNNNNNNNNNNNNNNNNNNNNNNNNNNNNNNNNNNNNNNNNNNNNNNNNNNNNNNNNNNNNNNNNNNNNNUUUUUUUUAACUACUCGCGGUACGGGGAAUCUGGUUUAAAGGGCCGCAUAGGGUUGUUGGAUUUCAGAAGUGCUAUAUGCCAAAAUGGUCCUGCCCUCCGGUGUUUUAUGUCUGGCCCCUGUCUGUACAUAGUGGUUGGAAAAUAUUGUUUAACGCUUAUAUAAUAAUAAUAAUACUAAGACUAAUAGUUGGUCACGGUAAAUAUUAGACUAAAAUUUAGCGAUAAUAAUGCUAGGUUUCGUCGAAGGAAAAUAGAAUCGUUAGAAGCAAGCGCUGCCCGAUUUUGGAAUCAUCACCUUAACAAGUGAGUGCAUAGUUACUUUCAACUUACACAUAGAUAUGAAGUAUUUUAUAUAAAUUACGUGCUAUGUGUGCAUAUUAUCUGAAUACUUGCUAUCUAUGCUAGAUGAACGUUGUUAUACAUGUUUUCAAUGAUUUAAACUGUAUAUGUAUUUUAUAUCUACGAAAAUGUUGGGGUAAAACAUGGGUAGAUGCAAUAGGUGAUGUGUGAUAAAAUGAUGAGAGGCCUCGAUGUUGAUGUUGUUGAUUCUGUCAUCUAGCGGAGUAUGGAUGACGACCACGGACUCUUCUAGACAGUCCAGUGGAACACUAGCAGGCUCGCAACCUGUAGGUGUUUGUGAACGAUAUGUUCACCGGUGUACUCCAUCCCCCACAUGGUUGCCUUUAGGACAUUUAUUGCUGAGGAAUCCCCUUAGCAGUAGUGUCCGUCCCGAUGAUGAUCCUUAGGCUAGGUCCCUUAUGAUAGGUGUUUAGGGACGUAAAGUGAGGAUAACGGGAACGGGUAAUCGGGUUAUUGUUGAUCGAUGAAAUUAAUAAACUUAUUUAUUGUGGGUUGAAAACCCUAUGUGCUCACCAGGCUCCCAAGCCUGACCCACUCAGUUUUAUGUAUUACAGGUAGUGGCGCAUGAGCAUAGGUGUGAUGUUUUGGACGAGGGAUUACGGAUAUAGGCCUGUAGAUAUGAAAUAAUGUAGUAAGGCUUAUAUUGUACUGUUUAUGCUUUUGAUCUGUACGAACAUGACAUCCCGAGUCUUUUAAUGAAAUACAUUUCUAUGGAAAUGCUUUUGAUAAAUCUUUAUCAUAUUUUUGUUUUGGGACAAAUUCCGCAACACUUUCAUUUAAAAUGUAACUCUGAUUUUUAAACAAAGCAUAAACAAACCGGUCUUUUCUGGCCGUGAUUUUGGGGAUGUCACAGUUGGUAUCAGAGCAUUAGUUUAAGCGAACUAGGAAUUUGUAGGAUUUCUAGACUUAAACUUAGAAUGCUAAGCGAUGAUUGUGAGGUGUGAGCACUAGCUUAUUUUAGGAAUUGUGCCUAAAAUGCUUUUAUGUGCUAAAUGCUUUGUGCAUGAUAUGCUGUUAUUUGUUCGGAUCUAUGGUCUGUUGCCGACCGGAUCUGGAAACCUUAUGUGUUUAGGAUUCUAAACGUACGACUACGAUAUUAGAACUAGCAUGUAAACGUUUCGGAGUGAUAAGGACGAUUUAAACGUCUAUCCUAAAUAAAGAUCUAAAUUCACCUUAUUCGGUGUAUAGAUCAAGAUGGCAAGGACCCGUAGCGGAAACGUGAACGCAAAUGGAGAUAGGAACCAACCCCCAGUGGUUCAGCAAAUACCUGUUGUUGAAGAAGUUGCACCUGAGCCAGUCACGAUGGUCGGAGUGCAAGCGAUGAUCCAGACGAUGUUGGAUCGUCAAAUGGAGGAAACUAGACGUUUGCUCCAGCAAAAUCGAGAGGAAGAGACUAUUCAGAUCAAACAGCCCGAGUUGAACAAAGGGCAGACUGAGGAGGGAAACUACAGUGGGACUGUUGGUCAAGCCAACCCACCGAUAGUUAGGCAAAACCACCAGGAUGGAGGAAAUGACGGACGUGGAUGCAAAUACAAGGAUUUCAUGGCAUCCAAGCCACCGAGUCUAUCUGGAAGCCCGACACCAGUGGAAGUCAUGAACUGGAUCUCUGAAAUGGAGACAAUGUUUGAGAGUUGUGAGUGUAGCAACAGGCAGAAGACCGCUCUCGCGAUUCCUCUAUUGAAAUCUGGAGUACUGAGCUGGUGGAAGCUACUAGCUGAUUCAAUGCCCAAAGGUGAAGCAAGCAAGAUGUCGUGGGAGGAUUUUCUGGUACAGUUGAAGAUGCAAUAAUGCUCUGAGCAGGAUCUUCUGGAGAUCAACAACGAGUUUCAGAAUCUAAAGAAGGGAAGGAUGAGCGUUACUGAAUACGCUGCAAGCUUUACUGAGAAAAUGAAGCUUGUUCCUCACCUCGUUCCAACUAAACUCUCCAAGGUUAACAAAUUUGCCCUCGGAUUACCAGCGGACUACGGUCCAAUGGUCAAGCAAACUACCACUCUGAAACCUGCCAUCUGGGCUGCUAAGAAUGUGGAGACCCAGAAACGAGAGAAGGGUCUGGAGAGAGUGGAGGUGGGAGAAAAAAGGAAAUAUGACGGAUCCUUAAGGUCCGAUAAGAAGGGUAGAUUCUCAAAGUUUGGUUCGAGAGGAGGAGGAUUAGAAGCGAAUUGGUGUGACAAGUGUAAGAAGAAGCACUCUGGGAAGUGUGACGAAGGGGUCACUUGUGUCAAAUGCGGAAAGCCUGGGCACUAUGCCAACGAAUGCACGUUCACUAAGAAGGUAUGUUAUGAGUGCAACGAGGAGGGGCACAUUUCAAAGGAUUGCCCGAAGAAGAAGGAGGCAGGAAGACCCAACAUACCACCAAAGCCGAAGGCGAGAGCCUUCCAGAUGACGCUCGAGGCUGCGAAGGAGGCAGCAGACGUCGCUUCAGGUACCUUUCUUGUAAAUGGUUUGCCUGCGAAUAUACUAUUUGAUUCCGGAGCCAACUACUCCUUUGUGUCUCAUAAAUUUGGUUGGAAAUUAGCAUUGCCUGUAGAAAAACUAGAUAAUACCCUGAUUGUAGAAGUUGCCAGUGGAAAAUUCGUACCUGUUAGUAAUCGUAUUAUGAACAUCGUCAUUAACCUAAACGGAAACGAAUUCCAUGAACAGCUAUUACCCAUAGAGUUAAACAGUUUCGACAUCGUUUUGGGUAUGGAUUGGCUUAGCGCCAACGAUGAUGAGAUUCAAUGCCGAAAGAAGAUAGUAAGGGUGAACCCGCCCAGAAAAGAAUCAUUUAUGGUGUACGGGGACAAGCGCAGAGUGAAUUCUGGAAUCAUAUCCCUGAUGAAAGCCAGGAAAUGUUUGUCCAAAGGAUGUGCAUCGUACUUGGCAUUCGUAAUCGAUGCUAAGAAGGAGAAGAAAGAGGUGCAGAAUAUACCGGUUGUGUGUGAUUAUCCGGAAGUCUUUCCCGAAGAUCUUCCCGGAUUACCACCUGAUAGGCAAGUGGAGUUUCGUAUAGACAUGUUACCAGGAACAACACCGAUAGCAAAGGCACCUUACCGAUUAGCACCGACGGAGAUGAAGGAGCUCAUGACGCAACUUCAGGAGCUGUUGGACAACGGUUUUAUUCGACCUAGUUCAUCACCCUGGGGAGCUCCGGUGUUAUUCGUGAAGAAGAAGGACGGAAGCAUGAGAAUGUGUAUAGACUACCGAGAGCUGAAUAAGGCAACGGUGAAGAACAAGUAUCCAUUGCCGAGGAUUGAUGACCUAUUCGAUCAGCUGCAAGGUUCGAGCUACUUCUCAAAGAUCGAUCUUAGGUCAGGAUAUCAUCAGCUGAAGGUGAGAGAGCAGGAUAUUGAGAAGACUGCAUUCAGAACAAGAUAUGGACACUACGAGUUCUUGGUUAUGUCAUUCGGGCUAACCAAUGCUCCCGCAGCAUUCAUGGAUUUGAUGAAUAGGGUUUGUAAACCAUUCCUCGAUAAAUCCGUGAUAGUGUUCAUCGACGACAUUCUCAUCUACUCGAAAAGCCAAGAGGAGCAUGGCAAGCAUCUACGGGAAGUAUUAGAAGUGUUGAAGAAGGAGAAGCUUUUUGCAAAGUUCUCCAAAUGCGACUUUUGGAUACGGGAAGUCCAAUUCUUGGGUCAUGUUGUUAACCAGGAGGGAAUAAUGGUUGACCCCGCAAAGAUCGAGGCUGUAAUGAAGUGGGAACGUCCAAAGAGUCCCACGGAGAUUCGAAGCUUUCUAGGAUUAGCCGGAUAUUAUCGACGAUUUAUCCAAGGCUUUUCUUCGAUAGCUGCUCCAUUAACAGCUUUGACUCAUAAAGGAGCUACGUAUACGUGGAGUGAGAAACACGAUGAGGCAUUCGAGAAGCUAAAGAAGAAGUUAUGUGAAGCACCGAUACUUUCUCUACCCGAUGGAGUCGAAGAUUUCGCGGUUUAUAGUGACGCUUCUGGAGUCGGGUUGGGUUGUGUUCUGACCCAAAGAGAAAAGGUGAUAGCAUACGCAUCUCGACAAUUGAAAGAGCACGAAAAGAACUACCCCACUCAUGAUCUGGAGUUGGCAGCGGUAGUUUUUGCCUUAAAGAUAUGGAGGCAUUACCUCUACGGCACGAAGUGCAAGCUCUUCACUGAUCAUAAGAGUCUCCAGUAUCUCUUUAAUCAGAAGGAGUUGAACAUGAGGCAACGACGCUGGCUAGAACUUCUCAAGGACUACGACUGUGAGAUACUUUACCACCCAGGUAAAGCAAAUAUUGUUGCUGAUGCUCUCAGUCGGAAAGUCAAUCUGGAAAGGAAAAGGCCAAGAGCGUUAAGAAUUGAAGUCGUCUCGACGAUUGUGGAAAGUAUCAGGAAAGCUCAAGAAGAAGCUUUAGAGAAAAAUGACCGAAAGGAAGAACGUUUGGGAAGAACGUUAGUGUUUGGUACAAACAGUCGAGGACUGAAGGUAUUCCAAGAUCGAAUUUGGGUACCUAAGACGGGAGGAAUAAGAGAUCUUCUGAUGGAAGAAGCACACAAGACCAUGUACUCGAUUCAUCCCGGUAGCACUAAAAUGUAUAGGGACCUAAAACCCUACUACUGGUGGCCGAUGAUGAAGCUCAAUGUUGCGAAGUAUGUGGCCGAGUGCGUAACAUGUGCAAGGGUUAAGGCACAACAUCAAAAACUGUAUGGGAGUUUAGAACCUUUACCUGUACCCAUGGGUAAAUGGGAAGACAUCACCAUGGAUUUUGUGACCAAACUACCUAGGACAAAGAGCAGUCACGGCAUGAUUUGGGUGGUCGUGGAUCGUUUCACCAAGAGUGCACACUUCAUAGCAGCCAACAAGAAGUGGUCUAUGGAUAAGCUCGCAAAUGCUUACGUAAAGGAAAUUGUAAGACUUCACGGUGUUCCUCUUACAAUUGUAUCAGAUCGUGAUAGUCGUUUCACAUCAAGGUUUUGGACGAGUCUACAAGAGGAGUUGGGUACGAAGUUGUGUUUGAGUAUUGCUUACCAUCCACAGACUGAUGGUCAGAGCGAAAGAACGAUUCAAACACUGGAAGAUAUGCUGAGAGCAUGUACCCUCGAAUUCCAAGGGAAUUGGGACGAGCACUUACCUCUGGUAGAAUUUUCCUACAACAACAGUUUCCACUCGAGCAUCAAGAUGGCACCUUAUCAAGCCUUGUACGGACAGAAGUGUCGUACGUCGUCUUGUUGGCUUGAAGUCGGAGAGAAGCAGUUUAUGGGCCCCGAGAUAGUCCAUGAGACUGCUGAGAAGUUGAAAGUGAUUAAGGAAAGGAUGUUAGCAGCCCAUGAUCGUCAGAAGAGCUAUGCUGACAAGAAAAGACGACCGAUAACCUUCAAAGUUGGGGAUUCGGUUUUGCUAAAAGUGUCACCAUGGAAGGGACUUAUACGAUUUGGGAAACGAGGAAAAUUGAGUCCAAGGUUUAUUGGACCGUUCAAAGUUUUUCAAAAGAUUGGUAACCAAGCUUACAAGCUGGAAUUGCCCGAAGAACUCAAUGGUAUUCAUAACACCUUCCAUGUGUGUUAUUUGAGGAAAUUCACGGGAGAUGUUCCCGACAUAAUUCCAAUCUCAGAGUUAAGGAUGGAUGAAAAUAAAAGGCUGAUCGAAGAGCCUGAGGCAAUUGUUGACCGUAAGACUAAGAAGUUACGACGCAAGAUGGUCGACUUAGUGCUAGUCCGAUGGAAACAUUCGAAUGGGCCGAAUCUCACUUGGGAAACAGAGGAUGACAUGAUGAGUCGCUAUCCACAUCUGUUUGCUGAUGCAUGAUUCCGGGACGGAAUCAUCCUAAGGGGGAGAGAAUUGUAAUGCCCGGGUUUCAGGGCUAAGCAUAUUUGUCAAUUUAAUAGUCUUGGUCAACUAUUGUAACUAUUUUUGAAGUAAUAAAGAUGAAAUAUUUGAGUAUUAUGUGAAUUAUGUGUGUUAUUAUGCUUAUUAUUUAAUUAUAACUAUAUAAUUAAUAAAGAAUAAAAAUAAAUGUUAAAAUUAAAGUGUGAGAUAAACCCGAUAUCUCUACAUAAAGUUGUAGUGGUCGAAACAAGGAUUCCGGGGAUAUAAGGAACGCCGAAAUCCGAGUUAUAACGAAGAAGUUAUGACCCGUCGAAGUUUCGCGACAGAACCGGCACGAUACCGGGAAGCGUAAAUAGUGAAUUUACGAUAGAGCGAGAUUUAGCCUUAGUGAUCUAAACGAAAGUCGUAGAAUAUGUUAAACUAAGAACAUCGAUAAAAAGAACGCCCAAAUCUAACUUUGUAUGAGGAAGUUAUGAUUUUUCUAAGAUUUAGUAUAGUAGUGCACAGCCCGAAAUCUGAAUUUUAGAUCGGUCGAUUUUUAGCCGACGGGAUCUAAAUGAAAGUUGAAGAUCUCAUUAGUAGGAACUCAACGGUCAAAAAAGACAGACAAAAACAGAGCUCGUAUGCAAAAGUUAUGGACGAAGCUUAGUCUCUACUUUUCGAGCGCGACGAAUUCGAUACAGUUUUGUAACUCCGAGAUAGAAUGAGAAUUAGCUAACGAGGUCUAAAUGAAAGUUGUAGUACUCAUAAAUACCAACGCGUGGAUAUAAAGAACGUCGAUAAUAGAGCUCGUAUGCAAAAGUUAUGGACGAAGCUUAGUCUCUACUUUUCGAGCGCGACGAAUUCGAUACAGUUUUGUAACUCCGAGAUAGAAUGAGAAUUAGCUAACGAGGUCUAAAUGAAAGUUGAAGAUCUCAUUAGUAGGAACUCAACGGUCAAAAAAGACAGACAAAAACAGAGCUCGUAUGCAAAAGUUUCGGACGAAGCUUGGAGACUACUUUACUAUACACUUCCUAUAAAUAAGAGAUGAACUCUUCAUUAUUUCCUCACACCUUCAAACCUUUCUUUCUCUCUCUAACUUCUCUCUAACCUCCCUAAACCCCUCCCAAGUCUAGGGAACCUCCCUAUCACGAGAAGAAAGCCCCGGAGCGCCCGACGGCUCCGAGAAGAAAAGCUUUCGGCUCGGAAACGCUGCUCCAGCGAAGCCCGGUUUUUAAUAAAAACCCGUUGUAAGUGAGUUACGCCUAUAGUAUAUUUAAUAUAGCUUUUAUUUAAUUAUAGUAACAUUAUUAGGACCUUAAAAUAAUUAUUUGGGCUAUUAUUAUGAGUUAUAUUGAGUGUUAUUUAACGCUUAUAUAAUAGUAAUAAUAGCUAGACUAUUAAUUAGUCGCGAUUAACGUUAAAACUAAACUCUAGUGGUAUUAAUACAAGGUUUUGGUCAAGGAAAAAUUGUUUUAAGAAGUAACGAAGAGCUGUCCGAGUGCCGAGUCACCACCUUACCAGGUGAGUGCAUAGUUACUUUCAGCUUACACAUAGAUAUGAAGUAUUUUAUAUAAAUUACGUGCUAUGUGUGCAUAUUAUCUGAAUACUUGCUAUCUAUGCUGGAUGAACAUUGUUAUACAUGUUUUCAAUGAUUUAAACUGUAUAUGUAUUUUAUAUCUACGAAAAUGUUGGGGUAAAACAUGGGUAGAUGUAAUAGGUGAUGUGUGAUAAAAUGAUGAGAGGCCUCGAUGUUGAUGUUGUUGAUUCUGUCAUCUAGCGGAGUAUGGAUGACGACCACGGACUCUUCUAGACAGUCCAGUGGAACACUAGCAGGCUCGCAACCUGUAGGUGUUUGUGAACGAUGUGUUCACCGGUGUACUCCAUCCCCCACAUGGUUGCCUUUAGGACAUUUAUUGCUGAGGAAUCCCCUUAGCAGUAGUGUCCGUCCCGAUGAUGAUCCUUAGACUAGGUCCCUUAUGAUAGGUGUUUAGGGACGUAAAGUGAGGAUAACGGGAACGGGUAAUCGGGUUAUUGUUGAUUGAUGAAAUUAAUAAACUUAUUUAUUGUGGGUUGAAAACCCUAUGUGCUCACCAGGCUCCCAAGCCUGACCCACUCAGUUUUUAUGUAUUACAGGUAGUGGCGCUUGAGCAUAGAUAUGAUGUUUGGACGAGGGAUUAUGGAUAUAGGCCUGUAGAUAUGACAUAAUGUAGUAAGGCUUAUAUUGUACUGUUUAUGCUUUUGAUCUGUACGAACAUGACAUCCCAAUUCGUUUAAUGAAAUACAUUUCUAUGGAAAUGCUUUUGAUAAAUGUUUAUCAUAUUUUGUUUUAAGAAAAAUUCCGCAACACUUUUAUUUAAAAUGUUACUCUGAUUUUCAAACAAAGCAUAAACAAAAUCGGUCUUUUAUGGCCGUGAAAAUGGGGAUGUCACAGAUACGAUCAAGGUGAUUGUGGACCGAUUGACAAAGAGUGCUCACUUCCUGGCUAUAAGUGAGAACUCUUAUGCGGAGAAGCUAGUCGAGGUCUACAUUCAAGAGGUGGAGGCUCGGCACGGAGUGCCGACAUCGAUAGUGUCUAACCAUGAUGUGCGUUUUACUUCCAGGUUUUGGAAGAAAUUUCAAGAGGAGUUGGGUACCCGACUACAUUUUAGCACCAUAUACCAUCCACAAAUAGAGGGGCAGAGUGAGCGAAUGGUUCAGAUGCUCAUGGAUAUGCUACGCGCUUGUGUUAUGGACUUUGGUGGGAUUUGUGACUCCUAUAUGCCCUUGGCUGAGUUUUCAUAUAAUAACAGUCAUCACUCUAGCAUUGGGAUGCCUCCCUUUGAGCUUUUGUAUGGGAGGAGAUGUCAUACUCCUAUCUAUUAGGGAGAGGUCGGACUGAGAGUGACGGGGAGCAUCAAGAUAGUGCUCAAGAUGACAAAGCAAAUCCAUCAGGUUAGACAAAGGUUGCUGACGGCCCAGAGUCGUUAGAAGAGUUACGCAUAUCGAAGGCAUUAUGAGCUAGAGUUACAAGUCGGCGACUUUGUUCUCCUGAAGGUAUCCCCAUGGAAACGGGUGAUCCGAUUUAGGAAGCGGGGCAAGUUGUGUUGGAUUAAUGUGUAUGUCCAUAACUAUAAUUGGUAAGACUUGACCUGACCCGACAUGGUCCAUUUGGGUUGCAUGGCGUCAUGCAUUUGGGUAGACUAAAAUGAGAGAAAUAAAACUUAAGGUUUGUUAAUAUAUUAUAAGUUCUAAUAUAUUAAUAAGAUUAUUUAAUUAGUAUUGAUCAAGAAUUAAUCUAAUAUUAAUUAAGUGAUCAAAAGAAGACUAAUUAAAUAUAUGGGUUGAUUGUGUAAAUCAUCCAUACUUGUAUAGUGGGCUAAUCUAUGAAGUGUGGAUUUCUCUCUAAUCUAUUCCAAGUGUAUUUGGUGUUGUGUGAAACAUUUCAAGUGUCACACUUGGGGCACUAGGCACUCAAGCUUCAUGAAGACAUUCUACAUCAAAGAGGUAUGUAAUUCUAACUUGAUAUAUUCAUAUGAAUCAAUGUUAUUAUGCUAGUUAGGAUGAAUACCUUGGAAAGUCAUAUUGUAACAGCCCGGAUUCCCAGGUAUUAUUCAUUUAUUUAUUCUGGUAAAUUGUGAGGAGACUCGGCGAGUUGGAUCCUAGACUCGCCGAGUAUGAUCGCGGAUUUGGACGCGGGUUCACGUCCGGACUCGGCGAGUCCACGCUGUUUAAUGAAACCCUAAUUUCCCAGCCUUGAGCCCUAUUUAAAGGACCUUAUAACCCUUCAUUGCGGCUACCUUCGACCUUGAGAGUACCAGAGCAGCUGGGAGUCCUUGUGAGUGAGAUAAGAGGCCAUUAUUCACCAUUUUUGUGUGUGUUUGCAAGAAAGAAAGAGGAAGGCCAAGCUAGGAGAGCUGGGGAGCUUGGAUCUACUUCCAUUUCGGCAGAGGAAGCUAUUUGAGGUAAUAUUCAGAGCUUAUUCUCGUGUUUUUAUGGAUAGGGUCAAAUCUAGGGUUUCUUCAUGCCUUGUUUGCCUUGUUUAUGGAGUGUGCGAGGUCCCAUGGGGAAAUGGUACCUAGAUCUGGACCUUAGUAGGUCCAGAGAGUCCCAGAUACUCUGCUUUAUGCCUUUCCUUUUGAGUUGGGGACUUAGGUUACCAUUUUAGUUGUCAUUUCACCAAAAGAAGCCUUGUAGGCGUUUCAUGGUAGCCAAGAUUGUAACUUUACGUGAUGAAUGUGCUUGGAAGGACUGGAUCUAUGAGUUAAUGGAACGAAUCUGACCUCAGAAGCGAGAUUGAGUUGAUGCAUGGCAGCGACUCGCCUAGUCCGAAGAACAGACUCGACGAGUAGCAUGAAGAUUGUCCUUAACCACUAAGCGAGUGGUCUUGUCGAGUUACGGGGUUGACUCAGUGAGUCUGGGAGAGUUGGAGAGGGUUGACAGAUGGACUGAGUCGAGCUGGAACUCGCCGAGUUGUUCUUGAGACUCGGCGAGUUGAGUCGUGGUGGCCCCGCGAUUCAUGCCAGGUGGAACUCGUCGAGUCAGGGAAGUNAGGGAAUCCUAGAGAGUUGGUGAAAACGCUUAGACUCGCCGAGUCGCUCUUGUGCACUCGCCGAGUCCGAUCAAAGUUGACCGUUGACCAGAGAUGACCAGUGUUGACUUGAUGGGAGUAGUCAACCUUAGUUGAGAAAGUGUUAAUUAGAGAUGUAUUGUGUUAUAGGAGGACUAUAGCUCGGAGGAUUGAGCACGAGUGUUUUCCGGGAUUUGCGAGUUAUCAAGAUACGCGAGGUGAGUCUUCUCACUAUCUUUACCUUGAGUAGGUAACCAGAGUUAUGUGGUAGAGUAUGUGUAUGUUGUGUAUGUUAUGUGUUGUACUGCAUUAUUUCUAUGUGAUUUAUGUUGUGCAUGUUUACAGAGUUAGAACCGGAAGGUUCACAGAGUAGGGUCCACGGACCCACAGAGUUAUAGCCUCGAGUGGCUAAUAUGUGUUAUGUGUGGUACUUUGGGGAACUCAAUAAGCUUCGUGCUUAGAGUGUUUUGUGUUAUGUGUUUCAGGUUUCUCUCAGGAUCACGGGACGACACCGGCUCGAUUGUACACACCAGAGAAAGAAAUGUUUUGAGGAUCCUGGUUUAUUAUGCAAGUGAAAAUGAAGUUAUAUUUUGUAAGUCGAUUAUGAAUGAGAUUUUAAGCAAAGUGUUUCUAAGAAUUAAACGAUUAUUUUUAAAUGAAAAAUUGUUUUGAAAUUUUCGGCGUUACACAUAUUUACAUGUAUAAUAGAGAAAACAUAGAUCCAAGGUAUUUAGGGUUGCAUGUACACUUAGGAAGUGUUAGAAUGCUCAAAACCCUUCAGUGAUAUCCGAUCGUAGGCUUGCUUUCUCUUAUACUUGAUGCAAAUAGAUUUUUCGAAGCCAAGAAUCUGUCAGGGCCUAAAACUCGACGUGUUCUGGUACAAAACUUGACGAGUUCAUGUAUUAGGGCAUGAAGUCGACGAGUUCCAUGAAGAACUUGACGAGUUUGGCCUCCAGACACAUAUCUUCANACAACAUAUCUUCAUGUUUUUUGGCUGGAAUUGGACUAGGAACAUUACCAUAAGCUGUUUUUGAACUUAUAAACUUGUUUUUGAUGUGGUAACGUUCAUGCUAAUCCAAUUUCAAAGAUAAUUGUCAAUAGAUUCAUGUUUUGUAUUAGUUUAAGGUUUAUACUAAUUACAUGAAAAACUUUGAUUUGAAUUAUCUUGUUCUUCUAAGUUGCUUAGAUUAAUAGAAAGUUAUGUGAAAUUGUUGUUUUAUGUGACAACCCGAAAUUUCCAUUCGGUCAAACCCGAAAAGUCAACCCCUUCGUAAUCAUAAGUCAAUGUCAUUAUUUCUUAUUUUUAAGAAAUAUAAAGUUCGUUUGAUUAUUUUAAUAUUAUUUUUAAACGAAUGGGUGGAAGAAAGUGUCGUCUCGGGUUUUGAUUUUUGAAAACCGCAAACACUUCGCAUAUUAGAAACACUCGACCAAAUUUUUAUGUUUUGGGUUUAGAAAUCACCAAAACCGUAAUUCAUGCCUAUGUAUGAGUUUACUCCCCAAAAAGUUAGUCAUUUGUGUUUACUCCCCAAAAGUCAAAAGAAUAAACCCCAAAAUAUCCUCUCAUGUAUCAUCCAAGAUUUAAUUCCAAAUCUUCAAAGUUGUAAGUGUUCUAACCAUUUCAAGUUAGUAAAACACUUAAUCUAGUGUUUGUGCAUCUAUUCAUCCAUUCAUUUAUGUGUUUUGUUUAGAUUUUCCAAAACACCAACACCAAGAACACACACUUAGUGUUCUUGGCCUUUUAGCACAAAUCACGCCUUCCAUUAGUAAGUGCUUCUAUCCUUGAGUGAUUUUAAUCUAGUAUUACACUUAAACAUCAAGAAAAUAUGUCAAGAACACAAGGUUGGAGGUGUUCACGGUCCAAGGAUGUUCUUGGACCGUAAACACCAUAAAGGGGCACCAAAGUGUGCCUAAGUCCUUAUCUAAGCCCUAGUUGGAUGUUUAAACCAUCCUUGACAUAUUUAAACCCUUCCUUAUAGUGUUUAAGCCUUGAAAAAGCACCAAAACCUCCACUUUUAUGUGUUUACGGUCUAGGGAUGUCCCAAAACCAUAAGCACCCCCAAAAGUGUGUAAAUGUCCGUUAAAAGCCCCAUGGUUGUUCCUUAUGGCUAAAUCUAACCUAGACUAGUACCAUGAUUGAGCUAAGGACUUGAAAACCCCAAAUACCAUAAACUUAUGAGUUUAAGGUAGUUAACUCAUGAGAAAUGGUCGUUAGACCGUAAACUCCAUUUAGGAGUGUUUUGAUGCCACACAACACUUCCUAAGGCUAAUUCAUGAAGUAGGAAUACUUGGAAUAGCUUAGUAGCCUUCAAAACAACAAAUGGUCAUAAAGUGUAGAGUUUACAACCGUAAAUGCUUGCGUUUACUGCCGUAAACUCCUUGAGUAAUGGUCAUGAAGACCGUAAACUCCAAGGGAGUUACCCUUGAACCCCAAACACACUAGCCUUUCCCUANGAGAUGUAUAACACUUGUAUAAAGUGUUUAGCAUGUCCUAGAGUAUCUUAACUUUGUUUAUUAGUUGUUUAAAGACUAAUUGUGUAUAUACAUAUAUCCUUAUAUGUUAUUAGGAUCUUUGUGCGUGUCUAUGUAUUCACUUGACACCAAGCCCUUAUCCGACACUUCCUUCCGAUCCACUAACUACAAGUGAGUUCAUACCCCUUAAUCAAUGUUUUAAACUGUUUUUAAAUGUUUUAUGGGGGGAUACAAGUAGAUUUAUGCUAAUUAUUAUAUCAAUCACAUGUGAUUAAUAACCAGCAUUCAAAUGAUUGGCUACUCAUUAGCCGUUUUACCAAACAGUUUCCUUCAAAUGUAUUUCGUAAACACUUUAUGUGUUUAAAACUCCUUAUUUCUCUGUACAUUUUACUCUGUAUACUACUUUUCAAACUCAAUUACAAUUGUGUUUCAUACAAAUGUUUCUUUAUACUAAACCGUUUUAUCAAACCCAUGCCUUCAAAACCAUUUUAUAGAUUGACAUCAAGUCGAUCUUUUCUUAAGAUAAUAAUUAUGUUCAAAGGUUUUACAAAACUUAUUUAUGCUUUUAUAUUAUAAAUUGCAUGCCUCUAUAUGUAUAGUUAUAUAAGAAAUGUUUAAAAGACUUAGGAAGGCUAUCCACCCUAUUUCCUUUUCGCGCUUGAGAUGUGGUCUGGUGGGAUAUCGGGUACUCGUCCGAAGGUCGUUUAAAUAUUAGUUAUAUAACAUAUGUACAUAUAUAGUCAUAAAGGCCCUUCCAGUUCAUCCCAUGCCCUUGGGUAGCAAGGGUAUACAUCCAUGUCCAUACGUACCAGUUAGAUUACUAGUAAACUACCAUAUGGGUAGUUUAGGAAGAUACUAGAACUAUUACUAGAACGCGAUAUCAUACAAUGAGUCAGUUCAUUCAUGAGUCAAUACUUACUAGANNNNNNNNNNNNNNNNNNNNNNNNNNNNNNNNNNNNNNNNNNNNNNNNNNNNNNNNNNNNNNNNNNNNNNNNNNNNNNNNNNNNNNNNNNNNNNNNNNNNNNNNNNNNNNNNNNNNNNNNNNNNNNNNNNNNNNNNNNNNNNNNNNNNNNNNNNNNNNNNNNNNNNNNNNNNNNNNNNNNNNNNNNNNNNNNNNNNNNNNNNNNNNNNNNNNNNNNNNNNNNNNNNNNNNNNNNNNNNNNNNNNNNNNNNNNNNNNNNNNNNNNNNNNNNNNNNNNNNNNNNNNNNNNNNNNNNNNNNNNNNNNNNNNNNNNNNNNNNNNNNNNNNNNNNNNNNNNNNNNNNNNNNNNNNNNNNNNNNNNNNNNNNNNNNNNNNNNNNNNNNNNNNNNNNNNNNNNNNNNNNNNNNNNNNNNNNNNNNNNNNNNNNNNNNNNNNNNNNNNNNNNNNNNNNNNNNNNNNNNNNNNNNNNNNNNNNNNNNNNNNNNNNNNNNNNNNNNNNNNNNNNNNNNNNNNNNNNNNNNNNNNNNNNNNNNNNNNNNNNNNNNNNNNNNNNNNNNNNNNNNNNNNNNNNNNNNNNNNNNNNNNNNNNNNNNNNNNNNNNNNNNNNNNNNNNNNNNNNNNNNNNNNNNNNNNNNNNNNNNNNNNNNNNNNNNNNNNNNNNNNNNNNNNNNNNNNNNNNNNNNNNNNNNNNNNNNNNNNNNNNNNNNNNNNNNNNNNNNNNNNNNNNNNNNNNNNNNNNNNNNNNNNNNNNNNNNNNNNNNNNNNNNNNNNNNNNNNNNNNNNNNNNNNNNNNNNNNNNNNNNNNNNNNNNNNNNNNNNNNNNNNNNNNNNNNNNNNNNNNNNNNNNNNNNNNNNNNNNNNNNNNNNNNNNNNNNNNNNNNNNNNNNNNNNNNNNNNNNNNNNNNNNNNNNNNNNNNNNNNNNNNNNNNNNNNNNNNNNNNNNNNNNNNNNNNNNNNNNNNNNNNNNNNNNNNNNNNNNNNNNNNNNNNNNNNNNNNNNNNNNNNNNNNNNNNNNNNNNNNNNNNNNNNNNNNNNNNNNNNNNNNNNNNNNNNNNNNNNNNNNNNNNNNNNNNNNNNNNNNNNNNNNNNNNNNNNNNNNNNNNNNNNNNNNNNNNNNNNNNNNNNNNNNNNNNNNNNNNNNNNNNNNNNNNNNNNNNNNNNNNNNNNNNNNNNNNNNNNNNNNNNNNNNNNNNNNNNNNNNNNNNNNNNNNNNNNNNNNNNNNNNNNNNNNNNNNNNNNNNNNNNNNNNNNNNNNNNNNNNNNNNNNNNNNNNNNNNNNNNNNNNNNNNNNNNNNNNNNNNNNNNNNNNNNNNNNNNNNNNNNNNNNNNNNNNNNNNNNNNNNNNNNNNNNNNNNNNNNNNNNNNNNNNNNNNNNNNNNNNNNNNNNNNNNNNNNNNNNNNNNNNNNNNNNNNNNNNNNNNNNNNNNNNNNNNNNNNNNNNNNNNNNNNNNNNNNNNNNNNNNNNNNNNNNNNNNNNNNNNNNNNNNNNNNNNNNNNNNNNNNNNNNNNNCAUCUUUCAUUUUGAUUUAUGCUUUAGUGUUUAUCAAAAUUUGACAGAACACACUUGUAUAAUAAUUAUAUUAUUAAUGCAAUGGAUGAUGUUGUUGCUUGUUUACUACUUUACAUUGUUGUGAUAUUGUACAUGACGUCCUCCGCCCCAGAACGUUUCCGCCGUUCUUGGUUUUGGGGUGUGACAGAUUGGUAUCAGAGCAUUGUUUAUAGUGAAUUAAGUAUAUCAACCCAUAAAAGAUAUACUAACUAUAAAUACAUAAGGGAUUAAAAAUACUCUGACCAAGAGUCUAUACUUUAAAAUAAUAAAAUAUUUAAUUAAGUAUAUGUGUUGCAUUCAUACUAAAAUCAGUGUCACUAGGACAGUACAAAAGAAUUACGAUUGUUGGGCAACACAAGUGGGCUUAGAGAAAUAUGGUCAAAAUUGGGAAGAUAUAGCCUGAUCACCUAUAUUAUCCAAGGGUUGACUAGCAUGUGCCUAAGUGUAGUUGUGUGGUUGCAACAAGUCAAAAAUCUUACCAACCCUACCACAAUGAGAACAGUAGAACAUAAAAUUAAACUUGAAAUACUAUAGGAGUAUUUGGUGUUACUAUAAGUACAUUAUACUUGAGAACUAAAACGGGAUCUUCAUUACGAAGUUCAUAGUUGCUAAGUGGAUACACUAAGGCUAUAUGUAAUUAGGAUGUUAUAGACUUAGAAUCUGUGAAAAUUUUACUUCACCCUAUUUUGUGUGAAUAUGGAGUUAAGAUCACUUAUUCGAAGGCCUAUCCUGUUUCGAUUGCAUAUAACUGGUAUGCACUUCACAAAUAGCGAUGUAACUAAUGAAGAUUUUCUAAAUAAUUAUCUAGAUAAUUCGUCUAAUAAUUAUUUUCUUACCCUAAUUCUCGCAUAGAUAACAUGGUUGGACUCCAUCACCACGGCAAUCAGUAUCUUCCGAAUGAAGUCACUACUGGUUGGUUUGGAGAAGAACCAGACAACGAUCAUCCUAUCCCCGUGAAUAAUCACCAUGAUGAAAACCUUUCAGACUGGCUAACUCCGAACCAGAGGUUGAGAACCUACCCCAGGCGGCUCUCGUUCCAAUUCCUAACCCUCGUCUGGCUUGUCAUGGUUCGACGCCUCCAUGGGUGGAAUGUUUGGAAACAUGGAGCCAAGGACAAGAUCAGUCCAUACCAUAUGAUGGUGACCGAAGCUUUUAUGACUUGAGCAAUGGGGGCUCAGCAGAUAGAGUCUUGCCAGUCUUGGUCCGCAGAGUGGCCCGGAAUGAGAUUCAAGGCAGGAUAGCCCUCCAUCAGAUCACUGAAGUUGUCGCCAAUGCGAGAAUGCAUCCCCUCCGCACCAUUCGUCUAGAAGAUGCUCGCGAGAGAUCUGAGAGAAACUAUGAAACCCUGCUGCAAGCACUGGCUGAAUCACGAGCCAAAUUCAUAGAGCUCCGAGUACCCCAGAGGGUGUACGAAAGACACCUACUUGACGUGGAACGUCAAUUGGCUGAACUAAGAGUUCACCAGAGGGAUGACCGUCGCCAGUAGUAGACGCGUUACUUUAUUUUCUUUAUUAAAAGGAAUCGUUUUUCUGGCUAUGCCCGAUGUGGCAUUUUCUAUGAAACUAUCUUGUAUUGUAAGUACUUUUGGUUAGAUCUUUAUGUUGGAUAAGGUGUCUAUGUCCAUAACUUAUUUGGUAU
rnacentral:lncRNA from 1 species